UUAGCUUUAGCUGCACUGACUUUCUCCAUCUAAAACAUACAGCCAUUAGCGCAUCUAUUCAUCAGCACAUACCAAAAUUACCAAGCACCAAGUAGCAGUACCAAAUUGGCAAUUACCAAAUUGAAAUUGUCAAGCGACAGAUACAGAUUUAAACAUACAUCAAUGCAUUAGCAGUACCAUUUAUUCAUCAAUACAUGCAUCUAUCCAUCCAUCUAUUCACCUAGAUGUUAACAGAGAAACAGAGAAGAAUACAGAGGUAGAAGAGAGACGGGACAGAGAAGAAGAGUUCCCAUCGGGCGUCUAGGCAGGGCGGCCAGAGGCGACCAGAGGCGGCAGGCUGCCCUUCCAGCGGGGUCGCGAGGAGCAAGGCUGACGGAGCUCCCGUCCGGCGGCGUCGUGAGGAGAGGUGCUGUCGGUGUUCCCAUCUGGCGGCGGCGAGGCAGGCCGUCGUGAGGAGAGGGGCCGCCCCAAGGCGAGAACCGACGUGUAGGCUGGGCUGCCAGGGGGUGGCCGGUGGCGGGCUGGUGGAGCUCCCGCCGCCGCUAGCGCUCGUGGGGAUCGAGCGUUUGAUGGGCCGUUCAGUCGUGCAAAAGGGGCAGUUUGGCUGUAAAUUAUUCCUCCAAUAGGGGUACUCUCAUAUCCGAAACGUUUUCUUUGGUGGGACUUACCAGAAUACUGGGAUUCUGUGAAAAUCUAUGUUUUUCGAGGAUUUUGAAUUGCACUAGGAUUCUGCAGAAUCCGCUCGAGAUUUUGGAAGGCAAAUCGAGUUCUUUUCGCUCAGGAUUUUCCAGGACGAGAUUCUUCACAAUCUGUUCAAAAGAACUGGGCCUAAUUGCCGAAUGCAGCGGUAUUCUUUCGCUGGAGGUCAUUGCUGGAUUUGCUUUAGCUCUUCGGGCUGUUUUUCGUAAUCUCCAAGCCUCUUCAACCACCGUAAACCGAGGUCAGAUCCAGACUCAGCUGCUAUCUGGAACUGCUCCUUUGCCAGCUUUACUGGGUCCUGCUGUAUGGUCCUUUUUCGCACCUUCCCAGUUGACGGACUCUUGCCUGAGUUGAACCUGGUAAUGACUUCAGGCACUUCAGCACCUGAAACAACCACACGGUAAGCAUAAACAGAUAGGCCUGGAGUCUGGAGUAAUCUAACAAUUCCAGCCAAAAUUAAACAAAAUCAGUUGACCAAGAGCUGUCCAAAUUAAUGGUGAAACCAUAACUUCACAACCUGUUUACUCUAAAAUAGCCAUUACAAGAAGGAUAAUAUAAGGACACAUGAUUAUCUCUUGAAACGUUAAGAGUUACUCCCUCCGUAAACAAAUAUAAGAGCGUUUAGAUCACUAAGAGUUACUCGCUCCAUAAACAAAUAUAAGAGCGUUUAGAUCACUACUUUAGUAAUCUAAACGCUCUUAUAUUUCUUUACAGAGGGAGUACUUGUCUACAAACCUUUCAGAAGAAGGGAACCAUAUGCAAUUGCAGCUCCAGCAUGUCCCUGAGAUGUCAGAAAAACAGAAAUAACAACGUGAUUCAUGGGUUGCAAGUAAAUAAGAUAAUUUUGAGUUGAUCUAUUUCAUUUACUACCUUUGCUGAAGCUCUAUGGAAACACCACAUAGCUGAAGCUAUGUCCCUCUUAACGCAAUCCCCAGUUAUAUAUACAGCACCAAGAAGAUACAAAGCACCAGGAUGCAACUGCAUUCAAAGAUAGGUAAAAGCUGAAUAUGCUUACCAAGAAGCAUAGUAGAAAAUAUAUGAUCAACAUUCAGGUGGCGAGCAUACCUGGUCAACAGCUUUCUCUAUAUAAUGAAAGGCCUGUUGAUCAGACUGAACAUGAUCAUUCUACAAGCAACAAGGUAACCAUCAACUGAGGUGAAGAAAUAUUCCACCGAAAUGGUCUAAGGAAUGAAACUAUCAUUUGCCCAGCAAACAACUAAUAUUCGAUUAAUAAAGUGCCCCACAAAAAAAAAGAAUUAAAUAGGUGGAACAGAAAGAUGCCAAAAGCAGAUGAAGAGUGAAAACCUCAACUCUUAGCCGACAUCCAAGUUCAUACUGUGCCUCUGGAUCACCCAUGUUCGCAGCUUCAACAAGCAAAGCAGCACCACUGUACGCAUGAAAAGUGAGAGAUGAGCAUAAUUCACAUGAAAUGUGUACUGAAGGCAAGUUUUGCUUCAUGUGGAGGUAGCGGAAUAAAUGUUCCUACUAAAACGCAGCAAAAGAAAAGGAUGGUUUGCCUCACUCAAUAUUUUACGAUUUAAUUGAAGGUCAAAAAAGUAAACAUCGUUCCCAAUUUUCUUUUCCAAUCAAGGAGCUGCUAAUCUCGUUAAUCUUCUGUCCUGGUAAGUACUAAUGCAGCAAUUAUUGCUGACUAAUUGGACACAUAAUGUUGUUAGUAACCGCAAUUCAAAUAUAUUGCCAGUACAAAUUAUCUCAAAGCGCCAAACUCGAGGCAUACCAGUGGUUUAUUAAACAUUUUGACCAAGACAAUAAGGUUCAGUUCCAGUUAGGAUUUUGAAUAGGUUCACCCGCAAAAAAAAANNNNNNNNNNUCUUCACACUGCCUGAUAUGUAAAUAUUACUAAAACACUUAAUUAACAAGGUAUACCUACAGCGCUAGCCAAAUUAUAUGCAAUGCAAACAAAAUUAUCCUGCAGCUUUAGCUCUGUCAGAUAAAACAAGCACAGUAUUAUCUGCAACUGGUCCGUCAGAUAAAACAAAUACUAAGAAAUAAUUCUGGUAUGCAACUAUCUAACUGAGGCGCAAUGGUAUCCAGUAUUCAGAAUCAUGGCACUUACAUACUAGCCAGGUCCUUAAAAAGGAUAGUUCGCAAAAAAAAAAGGUCACUUAUAAAGGAUUCAAAUUGAGUCAAAACAACAACAUAACUACAUAAGCAACGAUAAAAUUAGUUGUUUGCAUCACGUUCACAGAUUCCUGGAAUAGCAGUGAAACAACAAAGUAGUGUACAUGCCAUAUGAGCAGGUUGAACGACACAGCAAAGUAAGUAAAUUAACACUAACAUCAUGGGAGGUAAAAUUAACUCACAUUGCCUUGCACGCCCCGGGAACAUGGUACUUGAAAUGCAUCUUGGCCAGCCAACAUCUCGCGUGAGUAUUCAUAUUGUCGAUCUCUAGAGCCAGCUCAAAGUUCUCCUUUGCGCCCUUCGACACCGAGAAAGAAUCGCACAACAAAAAGUUAAAACCCCAACAACAGGUCACAACAGAAUGGUUCCAAAUGGGGGAAGAGAGGGAACGUGAAUCCAGAGCUGUACCCUGAGAAGUGGGAUUAGUCGCUUGUCGUUGCGGUCGGCGAAGUCGAUGACGCGAUCGACCUCCUGUAGGGCGCUCCAACCCUUGGCCACCAACUCCAUUGCCUUCUUGUUCCGGUCGUGAAUCCAUCUCUGCAACCACAAAGAAGUUUAUUCACCGCCUGGCAACAUACUAGAGCAUGAAAUCAAAUAGAUACGUAGAUGCGCGCGUCUCAUCCGCGCCACACUCACCUGGUGAUUCAGCGUCGAGGCCAGCUGGGAGACAUGGCCGGACGGGGAAGACGAAGCGGCGGCGGCAGCGACCCGCCGCGCCGAUGCGGCGAUCAUGGCGGGGUGACGCCCUUCUCCGUGAGCCCGGCUGCAGAGGGGAUGACAGGGUGGUCUGCCCCCCAAAAAAAUUAUAAGCAAUAUGGACAUGUGAACAUUCUAACUAAUUACGAAUAUCACAAAGAAAUAGAUCAAUAUGGUCUUACAAACACACUAAAAUUCUCAAUUAAAUCUUAGUUUUGCAUAAAGAAGCCUACAUAUUACAUACUACAUGGAACAUACUCCCUCCGUUCCGAAUUACUUGUCGCAGGUAUGGAUGUAUCUAGAUGUAUUUUAAUUCUACAUACAUCCAUUUCUGCGACGAGUAAUUUGGAACGGAGGAAGUAGUAGAUAGUGCAUACCUUGAGAAAUUCAAAAAGACUGUUUCUGGCCUACGUUUUUGCAUUGCCAUGAAGAUAUCAAUUAUAUCAGCUUCAUUCACCUCUGAGAAAGCAUCCCUCUCAAUGUAUGUGACUAGGCCGAAAUUAUGUGCAAAAUUAUGUAUGGAUAGUGCAAAAAUGAAACCCUAAAUCAGAAAUUAGGGUAUUUCGGUACCUUCAAUUCCGGAGGCUGGUGUGGUGACUGAGCGGCGGUGGCUGCCGCCAAACUUGCAGGGGGGCGAGGGCAGGGGCGCCAGGCUUCCGGCCGGCGGCAGGGGCACGGCCGUGCGCAGGGAGGGGCGUGGGCAGGGAGGCGCGGCUGGACCAGAGGGCCGUCCGGCCGGGCGGGAAGGAGAGGCGCGGGCGCCGGGAGGCUGGGAUCCGGGCUCCGACUGGCGACCGGCGGUGAGGUCGCGAGGAACGGCGACGGCGAGGCGGCUGGGCGUCGAUGUCGGGCAGUGGCACAGUGCUGUGCGAGGGCGUCGCCGUGUCGGGAGGAAGGGCUCUGCUCGAUGUGGACUGGGCCGCGAGGACUAUUUCUCGCAUUCAGCGAGGCUCGCUGAACCGUUUAGAAAUAGAAAAAGUAAGAGAAAAUGAGGGCCUGGGUUCGAUUCUGUACUGCAUAGAGUUUUUUUUUCUUAACACAAUACAGACGCAAGCGCUUAUAUACACGCGCAGACACUCACCUUAUAAACAUGUACACACUCUAUUUCUAUGAGCAUCUUCAAAAGACUGAGCUGGCAUAUUAUCUUGAAAUUUAUGAAGUUGCCGUAGUCACCUCAUCGUCAACGUGAACGUCUCGAACUUGAAUCCUGGUGGAUUGAGGAUAUCAUAGUCCCUCUAACCAUCCAACCACAGACUACAUAGAGUUGCUAGCCGCUAUGCCACUUAUCAUUUCGCGUUCGCACCCUAGUUGAUGUAAAAGACCGGAGCUUUCUUUUCUAUUUCUCCUCUUUUAGUGCUUAUUCAUUUUUCUUCUUUUCUUUUCUCUUCUCCAACUUUUCCUUUCUUUUUUGCAUUUGUCCCUUCGUUUUUUCCUCCUUUUUCAUUUUUUGUUUCUCCUUUCUCCUUUGUUUUUUAUGUUUGCUUUCGUUUUCACUCUACAUUUUCAUAUAUGUCAAAAAUAUUUUUUGUAUAAGUGGUCAACAUUUUUUGUAUACACAUUCAACAUUUCUCAAAAACUUGUUCAACAUUUUCAUAGUUAUUCAAAAAAAAUCAAAUGCUUGAUCAACAUUUUUAAUACUUAUUCAACAUUUUCAAAUACUUGUUCAACAUUGUAUUAUACUCGUUCAACAUUUUCUAAUAUCUAUUCAACAUUUUUAAAAUACUGUCGAACAGUUUUAAUACUUAUUCAACAUUUUCAAAUACUUGUUCAACAUUUAUCAAAUUUUUGCUCAACAUUUUUAAAUACAUGUUCAUCAUUUUUUAUAUACUUGUUCAAUAUUUUUUUAAUACCUAUUCAAAAUAUUUAAAAUAUUUUUUCAACAUUUUUAAUACUUGUUCAACAUUUUUCAAAUACUUGCUCAACAUUUUACAAAUUCUUGUUCAACAUUUUUUAAUACUUAUUCAAUAUUUUAUCAAAUGUAUUUUUGAAGAGUGUUUUUAAUAUAUAUAUAUAUANNNNNNNNNNNNNNNNNNNNNNNNNNNNNNNNNNNNNNNNNNNNNNNNNNNNNNNNNNNNNNNNNNNNNNNNNNNNNNNNNNNNNNNNNNNNNNNNNNNNNNNNNNNNNNNNNNNNNNNNNNNNNNNNNNNNNNNNNNNNNNNNNNNNNNNNNNNNNNNNNNNNNNNNNNNNNNNNNNNNNNNNNNNNNNNNNNNNNNNNNNNUAAUAUUUUUAAAGUAUAAAAAAUGAAAACAAAAACAAAAAAUGUAAAAAUAAAUAAAACUAAGGAACAUGCCGGUGUUGCCAGCGCGGGUGGCCCAGCCUAGACGCUCACGCGCUUCAGCGAGUCAGAUGCCUCGACUCGCUGAACGCGAGGAAUAGCGAUGCCCGCACUGGGCGUGGUUGUAUUUGUCAACUGGUAUGUAUACUGGGCCAUUUUUUUCUGGCCCUGUAACUAGAUGUUCCAGCCCAUGAUAAAGUUUUUUCGGAAACCUAGGAGCCUCCGCUUAGGCGAUUAGGGUUUCGUGGAGCACGGCGGCGCUCGCCAGAUCUUGAUUGGCGGGGUGCGUGAUUGGCCGGGCAAGAUGUCCUCAUCGGGCGCCGGCAGGGGGUGGGUCUAAUCCCACGCCUGGGCGGACAGAGAACCAAGGAGAGAAGGCGCAGGCGGCACCAGGAUCGUCGGGCGCGGCUAGGGCUCAACUGGAAGAGGCCCUUGGAAAACUCGGGAUCACCGACGAGGAGGCGACGCCUCUAGUUAUUGAUGAUCGGGAAGACGAAGCUCCGGUGAAGUGGCUACUUGCAGGGAAGGUUUUGAACCGCAAGCUCCUCCAUAUCCGAACCAUAAGCAAUGCCCUCCGCCCAGCUUGGGGAAACCCUAGGGGGUUGAAGUUCACGUCCAUGGGAGAUAAUAUGUUUGUGGCUGUGUUUGAAUCCAAGAGAGACAGAGAUCAGAUCUGGGACGGAUCGCCGUGGCAUGUGAGCAAGAACGCGGUAAUCCUUGCUGAAUUUGAGGAGUGUAUGAGGCCGGAUGAGGUGAGUUUUGACCGGCUGCAGUUAUGGGCACGAGUUAUCAAUCUUCCCUACAAUCUCAGGGAUGAUGUAUGGGGCAAAGAAAUCGCAAAGCAGAUUGAUAAGAAGGCUUCCUCGGUGCAGUUUGACCACACGGGAGGUUAUUUGCGCGCGAGAGUCACCAUUGAUGUGAGUAAACCUCUGAGGAGGUGGAUUUUAAUUGAAUCGGCCAGGAGGAAGAAGCAAGACUUGUAUGAGAUACAAUAUGAAAAUGUGUCGCACUUCUGUUUCUCCUGUGGCCGCUUGGGACAUUCGGAGCUCUUUUGCCCUACCCCGGGGAAGAGAGACAAGAACGGAGAUCUCCCCUUUGGGGCAGGCCUGCGUGCUCCGGAGAAGAGGAGGAAAGAUUUCUCGGGUGACAGUACGAAGAGAGAGCACACUACAGCCAGCACCAGCAAACGAGAAUCAAAGAACUCUAGUAAUGUUGCUACGGGCAAAACUACUAUGGAGGUUACCUCACUGAUCAAAUCUCGCUUACCAAAAAGAAAGGAGGUGCCUACCCAGGAAUACCGAAGAGUUAAUCAACCCCUAUUGUUGAAAUCUGCUGUGGAGCAUGAAGACAUGAGCAAUAGUGAGGAUGGUUCAGAGGGGCAGAAUGAAGAGGACAGGCUUAGGAAGAAGAAGCCAACACCAGAAAAUUCGGCAGAGGCUACGGUGCAGCCCUGCCCGUCCAAAUGAAUUGCAUGAGCUGGAACUGCCGGGGGCUUGGGAACCUCGAGGCAGUUCGCGAGCUUCGCAGCAUUGUGAAGCAAGAAGGUCCUGCCCUUUUAUUUGUAAUGGAAACUAAAAUAAGGGCAAAGAGAGUGGAAAACCUGAAACUCACGUUGGGGUUUGCGGGUUGUUUCGCAAUCGAUAGUGAUGGUCUGAGUGGUGGUGUUGGACUGUUCUGGUCGAAGGAAGUUUCAGUUGAGUUGAAGAAUUAUAGUCUGAGUCAUAUUGACGUCAUAGUUAAGAAGGAGGGACAAGUUUCUCCGCCAUGGAGAUUUACAGGUUUCUAUGGAGCACCGAGAGCAGAGAAUCGUUACCAUAGCUAGCGCUUCAUGAGAACUCUUUAUGCGAUCCAACAUCGAGUUUGGAUCUGUGUUGGUGAUUUUAAUGAGACCUUGUAUGGGUCCGGGCACUUCAGCCGGGCGGCACGGCCGGAGUGGCAGAUGCGGGCCUUCCGCGAGGUGGUGCAAGAGUGCGCCCUACAGGAUCUAGGGUGGAAUGGCUUGGAAUACACAUGGGAUAACAAACAGCAAGGGGAAGCGAAUGUGAAAGCACGACUCGAUCGUGUGCUCGCAAAUGAGGAUUUUUUCAAUCUUCUUCCCCUUACUCGAGUUAGACAUGUCAGUUCCAUAGAAUCUGAUCAUUGUUUUCUUAUAAUUGAACUUAGUGAGCAUCAACUUAUGAAUAAUAAAGGGAAGAAGCAGUUCCGUUAUGAGAAUGUAUGGCAGUCUCAUGCAGACUAUGAUGAGCUUGUAAAUGAAUCAUGGAAGAGGCUACAUCGGGGACAGGGACUUGCAGGUAUAGCCGGUACCCUGCAACAACUACAGGGCGAACUAGGUACCUGGGGUGCCCGGGAGUUUGGGAACCUUUCCCGGACUGUUAAAAAGUUGUAGAAGAAGCUAGAAACUCUCCGGAAACAUUCAGUGGGGCGUGGUCCUUCUGAUGAGGAGGUAGUUACAGCACAAAAAUUGAGAGAAGCUCUUCGGCAGGAAGAAGUAUGGGUGCGACAGCGAUCGCGAGUCCGCUGGUUGCGAGCCGGUGAUCGGAAUACGUCAUAUUUUCAGGCCCAAGCAAGACAGCGUAAGCGUAUGAAAAAAAUCUUGAGGCUGAGAAGACGGGAUGAUACGAUCUGUUAAACACCCGAAGAGGACAAAGAAGAGGUUCAAUCCUUUUAUCAGAUGCUCUACACCUCUCAAGGUUUUAAUGACAUGGAGGGCUUCCUUCAGUUUGUACCAGCGCGGGUCAGCGAGGAAAUGAAUACAGAACUGACCAAGCCCUAUGUUGCCGCUGAAGUUAAGGCGGCGCUGUUCCAGAUGGCACCCUCAAAGGCGCCGGGAGUGGACAGUUUUACAGCAGGUUUCUUUCAGCGACAUUGGGCUCUUGUGGAAAAGGACCUAGUGCCGGUAGUAUUGGAUUUUCUGAACGGGGGAGAGAUGCCAGUGGGUAGAAAUGACACUUCAAUUACUCUCAUUCCGAAGGUGAGACACCCCCAGUCUAUCUCACAGUACCGACCUAUAUCGCUCUGUCCAAUGCCGUAUAAAAUUGCGGCAAAAGCUAUAACCAACCGUUUGAAACCUUGGAUGGAUGCGAUAGUGGGAGAGGAACAGAGUGCGUUCAUCCCGGGACUACUCAUCACAGAUAAUGUGCUUGUUGCUUUCGAGAGUAUACAUUCGAUGAAAAGAAGGAAGAAAGGAAAACAAUUUUCAUGUGCCGUUAAGUUGGAUAUGAUGAAGGCAUAUGACCGGGUGGAGUGGCAUUACCUGGAAGCAAUGCUUCUUAGACUGGGCUUCGAUGCUCCUUUUGUUCGUCUGAUUAUGAGGUGCGUCACUUCCGUCAGAUUCUCAGUUCGGAUGAAUGGUGAAUUACUACCUUCCUUCACCCCAUCUAGAGGACUGAGACAAGGUUGCCAUGCGUCCCCCUUCCUGUUUCUAUUAUGUGCGGAAGGACUAACCUCCUUGUUAAAUCAUUUUGGUGGACAUUUUGUGGACAGAGGUAUUCAGGUGUCAUGCAGGUCACCCUGGAUCAACCAUCUACUCUUCGCCGACGACAGCCUCAUCUUCAUUAGUGCGACGGUGGAGAGUGUCGACAGAUUGAAUCAAAUCUCUUCCUAAUAAUAAAGCACGGAUUGGGUCUCCGGGUUCACCGUUAUAUUUUUUUUACUUUCCGUACGUGGUCUCUUUUGCUGGUCCCUACGAGGUGGUACUAUUUUCUAUUCUACCUUGCUCCACGUCUCCUCUCCUCGAUGGAAUUUUAAAAGAAUCGUACGUACAGGUACGGAGAGCCACGCCAGCCCAUCUAACUAACCGCAAAAAACAUGGGCCUCCUUAUGGGCUGCGUGCACGUGAGUGGGCUUUCUUAUCUUAGGUCUUAGAGAAAGAAAGAAGAAACCGCUACAAUACAGAAUCGAACCUGAGAUCUAUUAUAAUUCUUUCAAUCAGGACAACCAACUGAGAUAAACAUAUUACGUGCAGAAUAGUCCCACCUCGCAAUUUCAAACAUAGUCAAACCAGUUAAAAUACCAGCCGCCGCAGUAAUUAACAAACAGCCGUGAAAAAGGGGCAGCUAAUUAAGUGGAUGGGGUAAUUAUUGUGCGCGGCUAAUUCAAAGGAAGGAUGGUGUGGCAGAAUAUUUAAAUUUAUGGGAUCCUUAAUAAGGCAAGGAAGGAUUGUGAUGGGAUUGCGAGAAUAUUUAAAUGACUGGGAUUUAUGUGAGGCUAAUAAUUAAAAGGGAGGAUUUGAUUGUGGGCUGAAUAUUUGAAGACGGUCGAGGAGAGGCUAAAUAAUUAAAAGGGAGGAUUUGAUUGUGGGCUGAAUAUUUGGGAUCCGGCUUGCCUGCUCCCUUCCCAUGUUCCCAUCCGUGCUCCCACUUCAUCCUAUGGCUGUCCUUUUUCCUUUUUCUUUUCUAAUCUAAUAUUUGGGAGCAGGCAAGUCUCGUCCGAAUAUUUGAAGACGGUCGAGGAGGACUGUGUGAUCCGAACAAACGUGACCACCAUUGACAAUGGUGACGAAAAGAAGAAUUAGUAACAAUAAUGUGUCUCUAGAAAUGUAUAAUUUUUUUAUGGCCGGUUGUAUCGGCGCUAAUAACAUUUUUUUCCCUACCGAUCUCUACGUGCCCAAUAAUAAAAGAAAAUAGCAUGCUAUAGAGUCAAAUAAAGUCUUCCAUAAAUAGUAUUAAUAUGUCAAUCAACCGUGUGAUCUCAUUAUCAAAGCUUUUUUAUUAAUAUUAAUGUUAUUUAGAGAGAUAAGGCAGUACGUACGUCUUCUCAUUAUUACAAUUGAAAACAUGUUUUAGGACCUCUAGAGCUUGAUACCUACUAUUUUUAUUUUUUAGAAUUGUUUGUGUAAAAUGCAUGUAUUUCCACUUUUUAUUUUGUUAGUAUUGUGUGAAAACGGCACGGAUCACUGACAACUGGUGCUCACCAGCCACCUAGCACAUCCCAACACCACAUCUACAACCAUCAUGGAAUAUAUUUCAAGCUGGGAUAGAAGAUAACCAGUUCUAUUUUAACUUACAAUAUGAUGAUGAAUUAUAGCUCUAUAUAGAAAAUUAAAGUCCAUUUGGAAUCGGUAGAAAACUUGCUACUCCCGUAUCAUUGUGUUUUGCCCAUUUAAUUCUAACCAAAUUUAAAUACACAUUAAUUGCGUCUUCCGUAGCAACGCACGGACAUUUUUGCUAGUCCUACAAAUUUAUGCAGACUGUUCGGGGCAGAGUGUGAAUAAAACAAAAAGCUCGGUUUUCUUCUCUUCGAAUACGCCAACAGGGAGACGCCACAUAGUGAAGCAAAGGUUGGGUAUUUGCAUGGAGGCAUUCAGUGAGCGCUACCUUGGUCUUCCUACAGCAGUGGGAGGGAUCACCAGCGAGACGUUUGAUCAUAUUGGCGAUCGGGCGCGGACUAGCAUGCAAGGAUGGUCUGAAAGGAAUUUUGCUUGUGCAGGACGUGAAAUUCUUGUGAAAUCAAUAGUGCAAGCAAUACCUACCUUCAACAUGUCUUGUUUCUGCCUCACGAAGAAAGUUUGCAAGAAGUAUACAGCAAACAUGGCGAAAUAUUGGUGGAGCAGCUCACUUGAUAAACGGUCUUUGCACUGGAUAUCGUGGAAGUCGCUCGCAUCUCCAAAAAUUAAUGGCGGAAUGGGCUUCCGUGAUAUGGAACUCUUCAACAUUGCUCUCCUAGGGAAACAUGGUUGGAGGUUCAUGACCAGCCUAGACUCUUUAUGUGCUCGUGUUAUGAAGAGCAGGUACUUCCCAAAUACUGAUUUCAUGCAUGCAACAAUGUCGCAAUCAUCCUCUGCCAUAUGGAGAGCUAUUGUGGCUGGGCGGGAAGCUCUUCGAGCUGGUCUGAUUAUGCGUGUUGGGGAUGGCAGUUCCAUCUCUGUUUGGAAUGACAAGUGGAUCCCAGGUACAAUAUGCAUGUUCCCUAUGAUUAGGCCAGCCAAUUCUCUAAUCCAUUUUGUUCAGGAGUUAAUUGAUGAUGUAAAUUGGAGAUGGAAGGAUGAUCUAAUCCGUAACACUUUCCUAGCACCAGACGCAGAGGCUAUCUUAAACAUACCACUAUGCAAUGGGAGAGCUAACGUGCAGGAGGGGGGCAGCGGAGGCCGCGGCGGAGCUGCGGCAAGGCAGCGCGGCACAACGACGUGGUCGGCGUGCGGCGACAGGCGGCGCGAGCGCGCAAGCGAGAGAGAGAGAGAGGGAGAGAGACAGAGAGGCGCGGGCUCACGGUGGGGGUAGGGCACGGGGCAGCAGGUGUCGUGGGGGAGGACGGGGACGUCGUCGGCGUCGAGGAGGCAGGCCGGUGGGGGGAGCGCCGGCGAGGUCCAGGCGGGGAGGGGGCGACGGCGUUCGGCGGCGACGUCGGGCGUCGAGGGCGCGGUCACCCCGAUCCCGAUCCGGAUCGGGGGAGCGAGGGGGGAGCGAGUGGGGCGACGGGGUGGACGGCUAGGGUUUCGGGAGGGGUUAAGGAGAAGGGUUGGGCCGGUGGCCUGGCCGGCUGUGGCCUGGUGGGCCGAAGCCCAAGGGGCCGGGGGUUUCUUUUAUUUUAUUUUUGCUUUAUGUUUUGUUUAUUUUCCUUUUAUUUAUUUUGUUUUACUGCUUUAAUUCAACUUAGGGCAUAUAAGUAUUUUAUAAAUUUGUGUUUUCUUUACUAUAAUUAUCUAUGUAAUAUUUGGCACUAACCGAACAUUUUUGUUUUGAUGUUUGAAAACUUUUGAUGUUUGACAAUAUUUAAAUUUUGAAUUUGAAAGUUUCGAACCGACGCGAGAUUAGCAACAGUAAACGAGGUGACGUGGCAUCAUUAGCAGAGAUUCACUGUAGCUUAAAUAUCUGGACGUCACAAUUCUCCUCCACUACAAGAAAUCUUGUCCCAAGAUUUAGGAGGUAGAAGGAAACAGUGCGGGGUAUUCAUCACGCAGGCGGUCCUCGCGUUCCCAAGUGGCUUCAUCUUCAGAAUGGUGCGACCACUGGACUUUGAGGAACUUGAUCGCCUUCUGACGUGUGCGGCGUUCAGCUUGGUCAAGAAUGCAGACCGGAUGCUCUUUAUAGGAGAGGUCCUGUUGCAAUUCGAGCACUUCAUGAUCCACUGCUCGGAUUGGAUCCUUGAAGCAACGGCAGAGUUGUGACACGUGGAACACAUCGUGAACCUGGGAAAGGUUCGGCGGAAGCUCCAGUUGAUAUGCCACUUUUCCACGCCUUUCGAGAAUAGUGAAGGGACCGAUAUAGCGAGGAGCUAGCUUGCCCUUGAUCCCGAAGCGGUGAGCACCCUUCAUUGGUGUAACUCGAAGAUAAGCCUUUUCGCCAGGUUGAUAGACCAUGUCUUGGUGAUGGCGGUCAUACUGACUUUUCUGACGUGACUGAGCAGUCUUGAGAUUCUCGCGAAUAAUGCGAACUUGUUCUUCGGCCUGUUGGAUAAUAUCCGGACCGAAGAGUGGACGUUCCCCAGUUUCUGACCAGUUCAGAGGGGUCCGACACUUUCGUCCAUAUAGCACUUCGAAGGGGGACAUCUUCAGACUAGCUUGAUAGCUAUUAUUAUAAGAGAACUCGGCAUAUGGAAGAGAUUCCUCCCAUUUCUUGCCGAAGGAAAUUACACAAGCUCGAAGCAUGUCUUCGAGAACUUGGUUGACACGUUCAACCUGUCCUUGCAACUGUGGAUGAAACGCCGUACUGAACGACAGGUGAGUUCCCAUAGCUUCUUGGAAACUCGCCCAAAAUCUUGAAGUGAAUAAGCUGCCACGGUCUGAACUGAUAACCAGUGGAAUACCGUGAAGUGAAACAAUUCUGGACAUGUAGAGAGUAGCAAGCUGACUAGCAGUGAUUGUCCCUUUGACCGCCAGAAAAUGUGCAACUUUAGAAAGCCGGUCAAUGACGACAAGAAUAGCAUCAUUACCUUUCUGUGAUUUGGGAAAUCCAGUGACGAAGUCCAUUUCAACAUGGUCCCAUUUCCAUUUAGGAAUAGAGAUAGGUUGCAGAGUUCCAACCGGCCAUUGAUGCUCUGCUUUGAUACGGCGGCAAACGUCACACUCAGCAACAUAACGAGCAAUAUCCUGCUUCAUAUUGGACCACCAGAAUCUUUGAUGAAUAUCCUGGUACAUCUUUGUACUACUAGGAUGAAUAGACAAAGGCGUAUCAUGAGCUUCUUUCCUAACCUCUUUAGUCUGAUCCAGGUUUUUCCUCGAACGUGGUACCACUAGGCGGACUUUGAAGUACAAGGCGCCAUCAUCGGUGAUAGAGAAGAAGGAGGUCUUUCCUUCUGCUAGAUGACGUUUAAUCUUAUGGACUUCAGAGUCAUAACCUUGAAUAGUCUUUAUACCAGCUACAAGAUCCGAUACGACAGCCAGGGUAUUUAGAGAACCCUUAGUAACAACAUGAAGAUUCAUCUUCUGAAACUCUGGGGGAGGGGGGCGAGUGCUCCAGGAGGAACAAUAUGAAGGUUCAGCUUUCUAAAUUCUUCGACAAGCGAGGGCUGAACUUUGUGAACCUGGAGGUGAUUGCAAUAAGACUUGCGGCUCAAGGCAUCAGCCAUUACAUUAGCCUUGCCGGGGGUAUAGGAUAUACCCACGUCAAAGUCUGCAACAGUCUCCAUCCAUCUCUGCUGACGGAGGUUCAGAUCUGGCUGAGUAAACAGAUACUUCAGCCUUUGGUGGUCGGUGUGUUGGGGAACGUAGCAUAAAUUCAAAAUUUUCCUACGUGUCACCAAGAUCAAUCUAUGGAGUCAUCUAGCAACGAGGGAGGAUUGGAUCUACAUACCCUUGUAGAUCACGCGUGGAAGCGUUCAAGAGAACGGGGUUGAUGGAGUUGUACUCGUCGUGAUUCAAAUCACCGAUGAUCCUAGCGCCGAACGGACGGCACCUCCGCGUUCAACACACGUACGGAGCAGCGACGUCUCCUCCUUCUUGAUCCAGCAAGGGGGAAGGAGAGGUUGAUGGAGAUCCAACAACACGACGGCGUGGUGGUGGAAGUAGCGGGAUUCCAACAGGGCUUCGCUAAGCGUUGCGGGAGGAGGGAGAUGUGUCACGGGAGGGAGAGGGAGGCGCCAGGCCUUAGAUAUGGUUGCUCCUCCUUUUCCCCACUAUAUAUAGGGCCAAGGGAGAGGGGGGAGGCGCAGCCCUUGCCCCUUCCUCCAAGGAAGGGUGCGGCCAAGGGGGGGAGGAGUCCAUCCUCCCCAAGGCACCUCGGAGGUGCCUUCCCCUUUUAGGACUCUCCCAUUUUUCUCUUCUCUUGGCGCAUGGGCCUCUUGGGGCUGGUGCCCUUGGACCAUGUAGGCCAAGGCGCACCCCCUACAGCCCAUGUGGCCCCCCGGGGCAGGUGGCCCCACCCGGUGGACCCCCGGGACCCUUCCGGUGGUCCCGGUACAAUACCGGUGACCCCGAAACUUGUCCCGAUGGCCGAAAUAGCACUUCCUAUAUAUAAUUCUUUACCUCCGGACCAUUCCGGAACUCCUCGUGACAUCCAGGAUCUCAUCCGGGACUCCGAACAACUUUAGGGUUACCGCAUACUAAUAUCUCUAUAACCCUAGCGUCACCGAACCUUAAGUGUGUAGACCCUACGGGUUCGGGAGACAUGCAGACAUGACCGAGAUGACUCUCCGGUCAAUAACCAACAGCGGGAUCUGGAUACCCAUGUUGGUUCCCACAUGUUCCACGAUGUCAAGGACUUAAUCAAUCCCGUAUACAAUUCCCUUUGUCUAGCGGCAUUGUACUUGCCCGAGAUUCGAUCGCCGGUAUCCCGAUACCUUGUUCAAUCUCGUUACCGGCAAGUCUCUUUACUCCUUCCGUAACACAUCAUCCCGUGAUCAACUCCUUGAUCACAUUGUGCACAUUAUGAUGAUGUCCUACCGAGUGGGCCCAGAGAUACCUCUCCGUCACACGGAGUGACAAAUCCCAGUCUCGAUUCGUGCCAACCCAGCAGACACCUUUCGGAGAUACCCGUAGUGUACCUUUAUAGCCACCCAGUUACGUUGUGACGUUUGGCACACCCAAAGCACUCCUACGGUAUCCGGGAGUUGCACAAUCUCAUGGUCUAAGGAAAUGAUACUUGACAUUAGAAAAGCUUUAGCAUACGAACUACACGAUCUUGUGCUAUGCUUAGGAUUGGGUCUUGUCCAUCACAUCAUUCUCCUAAUGAUGAUCCCGUUAUCAAUGACAUCCAAUGUCCAUGGUCAGGAAACCGUAACCAUCUAUUGAUCAACGAUCUAGUCAACUAGAGGCUUACUAGGGACAUGGUGUUGUCUAUGUAUCCACACAUGUAUCCGAGUUUCCUAUCAAUACAAUUCUAGCAUGGAUAAUAAACGAUUAUCAUGAACAAGGAAAUAUAAUAAUAAUCAAUUUAUUAUUGCCUCUAGGGCAUAUUUCCAACAGUCUCCCACUUGCACUAGAGUCAAUAAUCUAGUUCACAUCGCCAUGUGAUUAACACUCAAGGUCACAUCCCCAUGUGACUAACACCCAAAGAGUUUACUAGAGUCAAUAAUCUAGUUCACAUCACUAUGUGAUUAACACUCAAUGAGUUCUGGGUUUAAUCAUGUUAUGCUUGUGAGAGAGGUUAUAGUCAACGGGUCUGAACCUUUCAGAUCCGUGUGUGCUUUACAAAUCUCUAUGUCAUCUCCUAGAUGCAGCUACCACGCUCUAUUUGGAGCCAUUUCAAAUAACUGUUCUACAUGGAGCUAUUCUAAAUUGUUGCUCCAUUAUACGUAUCCAGUAUCUCUACUCAGAGCUAUCCGGAUAGGUGUUAAGCUUGCAUCAACGUAACCCUUUACGACGAACUCUUUUACCACCUCCAUAAUCGAGAAAAUUCCUUAGUCCACUAGUUACUAAGGAUAACUUUGACCGCUGUCCUGUGAUCCAUACUUGGAUCACUCUUGUACCCCUUGACUGACUCAUGGCAAGGCACACUUCAGGUGCGGUACAUAGCACAGCAUACUGUAGAGCCUAUGUCUUAAGCAUAGGGGACGACCUUCGUCCUUUCUCUCUAUUCUACCAUGGUCGAGCUUUAAGUCUUAACUUCAUACCUUACCACUCAGGCAAGAACUCCUUCUUUGACUGGUCCAUCUUGAACACCUUCAAGAUCAUGUCAAGGUAUGUGCUCAUUUGAAAGUACCAUUAAGCGUUUUGAUCUAACCUUAUAGAUCUUGAUGCUCAAUGUUCAAGUAGCUUAAUCCAGGCUUUCCAUUGAAAAACACUUUCCAAAUAACCCUAUAUGCUUUCCAGAAAUUCUACUUCAUUUCUGAUCAACAAUAUGUCAACAACAUAUACUCAUCAGAAAUUCUAUAGUGCUCCCACUCACUUCUUUGGAAAUACAAGUUUCUCAUAAACUUUGUAUAAACCCAAAAUCUUUGAUCAUCUCAUCAAAGCAUACAUUCCAACUCCGAGAUGCUUACUCCAGUCCUUAGAAGGAUUGCUGGAGCUUUGCAUACUUAUUAGCAUCUUUUAGGAUUGACAAAACCUUCCGGUUGUAUCACAUACAAACUUUCCUCAAAAAUCGUCGAGGAAACAAUGUUUUGAUAUCCUAUCUGCAAGAUUUCAUAAAUGAUGCAGUAAUUGCUAAUAUAGUUCCAACAGACUCUUAGCAUCGCUACGAGUGAGAAAGUCUCACCGUAGUCAACUCCUUGAACUUGUCGGAAACUUCUUAACGACAAGUCGAGCUUUCUUAAUGGUGACAUUUACCAUCAUUGUCCGUCUUCCUUUUAAAAUCCAUAUGUACCUAACAGCCUUACGACCAUCAAGUAGUUCUGCCAAAGUCUACACUUUGUUUUCAUAUAUGGAUCCUCUCUCGGAUUAUAUGGCCUCGAGCCAUUUUGGAAUCCAGGCCCACCAUCGCUUCUCCAUAGCUUGUAGGUUCAUUGUUGUCUAGCAACAUGACUUCCAAGACAGGAUUACGUACCAUUCUGAAGUAGUAUGCAUCCUUGUUAUCCCACGAGGUUUGGUAGUGGCUUGAUCUGAAGUUUCAUGAUCACUAUCACAAGCUUCCACUUCAAUUGGUGUAGGUGCCACAGGAACAACUUCAUGUGCCCUGCCACACACUAGUUGAAGAGACGGUUCAAUAACCUCAUCAAGUCUCCACCAUCCUCCCACUCAAUUCUUUCGAGAGAAACUUUUCCUCGAGAAAGGGCCCGAUUCUAGAAACAAUCCGUUAUUGCUUUCGGAUCUAAGACACGAGGUAUACCCAACUGUUUUGGGUGUCCUAUGAAGAUGCAUUUAUCCACUUUGGGUUCGAGCUUAUCAGCCUGAAACUUUUUCACAUAAGCGUCGCAGCCCCAAACUUUUAAGAAAUGACAGCUUAGAUUUCUCUAAACCAUAGUUCAUACGGUGUCACCUCAUCGGAAUUAUGUGGUGCCCUAUUUAAAGUGAAUGUGGUUGUCUCUAAUGCCUAACCCAUAAACUAUUGUGGUAAUUCGAUAAGAGACAUCAUGGUAUGCAUCAUAUCCAAUAGGGUGCAGUUAUGAUGUUCGGACACACCAUCACACUAUGGUGUUCCAGACUGUAUUGGUUGUGAAACAAUUUCCACAAUGUCUUAGUUCUGUGCCAAACUCGUAAUUCAGAUAUUCAUCUCUAUGAUCAUAUCAUAGAUCUUUUAUCCUCUUGUCACGACGAUCUUUCAACUUCACCCUGAAAUUACUUGAACCUUUCAAUAAUUCAGACUCGUGAUUCAUCAAGUAAAUGUACUCAACAUCUACUCAAACCAUCUGUGAAGUAAGAACAUAACGAUGUCCACUACACGCCUCAACACUCAUUGGACUGCACACAUCAAAAUGUAUUACUUCCAACAAGUUGCUUUCUAGUUCCAUUUUACUGAAAAACGAGGCUUUCAGUCAUCUUGCCCAUGUGGUAUGAUUUGCAUGUCUCAAGUGAUUCAAAAUCAAGUGAGUCCAAACGAUCCAUCUGUAUAGAGUUUCUUCAUGCAUAUCUACCAACAAACAUGGUUCGCAUGUCUCAAUCCUUUCAAAAAUGAGUGAGUCCAAAGAUCCAUCAACAUGGAGCUUCUUCAUGUGUUUUAUACCGAUAUGACUUAAGUGGCAGUGCCACAAGUAGGUGGUAGUAUCAUUACUAUAUUUUGGCAUGAACAUGUGUAUCACUACGAUCGAGAUUCAAUGAACCAUUCAUUUUAGGUGCAAGACCAUUGAAGGUAUUAUUCAAAUAAAUAGAGUAACCGUUAUUCUCCUUAAAUGAAUAACCGUAUUGCGAUAGACAUAAUCCAAUCAUGUCUAUGCUCAAUGCAAACACCAAAUAACAAUUAUUUAGGUUUUAAUACCAAUCUCGAUGGUAGAGGGAGCGUGCGAUGCUUGAUCAUAUCAACCCUGGAAACACUUCCAACACAUAUCGUCAGCUCACCUUUAGCUAGUCUCCGUUCAAUCCGUAGCUUUUAUUUCGAGUUACUAACACUCAGCAACCGAACCGGUAUCUAAUACCCUGGUGCUAGAGUACUAGUAAAGUACAAAUCAACACAAUGUAUAUCCAACAUACUUCUAUCGACCUUGCCAGCCUUCUAAUCUACCAAGUAUCUAGGGUAAUUCUGCUCCAGUGGCUGUUCCCCUUAUUACAGAAGCACUUAGUCUCGGGUUUGGGUUCAACCUUGGGUUUCUUCACCAGAGCAGCAGCUGAAUUGCCGUUUCAUGAAGUAUCCCUUCUUGCCCUUGCCCUUCUUGAAACUAGUGGUUUCACCAACCAUCAACAAUUGACGCUCCUUCUUGAUUUAUACUUUGGUGUCAAACAUCGCGAAUAUCUCAAGGAUCAUCAUAUAUGUCCCUGAUAUAUUAUAGUUCAUCACGAAGCUCUAGCAGCUUGGUGGCAAUGACUUUGGAGAACCAUCACUAUUUCAUCUGGAAGAUCAACUCCCACUCGAUUCAAGCGAUUGUUGUACUCAGACAAUCUGAGCACAAGCACAACAAUUGAGCUUUUCUCCUUAGUUUGCAGGCUAAGAAAAUCGUCGGAGGUCUUAUACCUCUUGACGUGGGCACGAGCCUGAAAUCCCAAUUUCAGCCCUCGAAACAUCUCAUAUGUUUCGCGAUGUUUCAAAACGUCUUCGGUGCCUCAACUCUAAACCGUUUAACUGAACUAUCACGUAGUUAUCAAAAUGUGUAUGUCAGAUGUUCGCAACAUCCAUAGACAACGUUCGAGGUUCAGCACACUGAGCGGUGCAUUAAGGACAUAAGCCUUCUAUGAAGCAAUGAGGACAAUCCUCAGUUUACGGACCUAGUCCGCAUAAUUGCUACUAUCAACUUUCAACUAAAUUUUCUCUAGGAACAUAUCUAAACAGUAGAACUAAAGCGCGAGCUAUGACAUAAUUUGCGAAGAUCUUUUGACUACGUUUAGGAUAAUUAAGUUCCUCUUAUGAACUCCCACUCAGAUAGACAUCCCUCUAGUCAUCUAAGUGAUUACAUGAUCCGAGUCAACUUGGCCGUGUCCGAUCAUCACGUGAGACGGACUAGUCAUCAUCGGUGAACAUCUUCAUGUUGAUCAUAUCUACCAUACGACUCAUGCUCGACCUUUCGGUCUUCUGUGUUCCGAGGCCAUGUAUGUACAUGCUAAGCUCGUCAAGUCAACCUAAGUGUUUGCAUGUGUUCCGAGGCCAUGUCUGUACAUGCUAGGCUCGUCAACACCCGUUGUAUUCGAACAUAAGAAUCUAUACACCCGAUCAUCACGUGGUGCUUCGAAACUACGAACUGUCGCAACGGUGCACAGUUAGGGGGAACACUUUCUUGAAAUUUUAAUGAGAGAUCAUCUUAUUUACUACCGUCGUUCUUAGUAAACAAGAUGUAUAAACAUGAUAAACAUCACAUGCAAUCAAAUAAUAGUGACAUGAUAUGGCCAAUAUCAUAUAGCUCCUUUGAUCUCCAUCUUGGGGCUCCAUGAUCAUCUUGUCACCGGCAUGACACCAUGAUCUCCAUCAUCAUGAUCUCCAUCAUCGUGUUUCCAUGAAGUUGCCUCGCCAACUAUUACUUCUACUUCUACAGCUAACGGUUAGCAAUAAAUUAAAGUAAUUACAUGACGUUUAUGUUGACACGCAGGUCAUAAAUAAAGACAACUCCUAUGGCUCCUGCCGAUUGUCAUACUCAUCGACAUGAAAGUCGUGAUUCCUAUUACAAGAACAUGAUCAAUCUCAUACAUCACAUAUAUCAUUCAUCACAUCCUUUUGGCCAUAUCACAUCACAAGGCAUACCCUGCCAAAACAAGUUAGACGUCCUCUAAUUGUUGUUUGCAUGUUUUAUGUGGCUGCUAUGGGUUUCUAGCAAGAACGUUUCUUACCUACGCAAAGACCACAACGUGAUAUGCCAAUUGCUAUUUACCCUUCACAAGGACCCUUUUCAUCGAAUCCGAUCCGACUAAAGUGGGAGAGACAGACACCCGCUAGCCACCUUAUGCAACUAGUGCAUGUCUGUCGGUGGAACCAGUCUCAUGUAAGAGUACAUGUAAGGUCGGUCCGGGCCGCUUCAUCCCACGAUGCCGUCGAAUCAAGAUAAGACUAGUAACGGCAAGCAUAUUGAACAAAAUCAACGCCCACAACUACUUUGUGUUCUACUCGUGCAUAGAAACUACACAUAGACCUAGCUCAUGAUGCCACUAUUGGGGAACGUAGCAUAAAUUCAAAAUUUUCCUACGUGUCACCAAGAUCAAUCUAUGGAGUCAUCUAGCAACGAGGGAGGAUUGGAUCUACAUACCCUUGUAGAUCACGCGCGGAAGCAUUCAAGAGAAUGGGGUUGAUGGAGUCGUACUCGUCGUGAUUCAAAUCACCGAUGAUCCUAGCGCCGAACGGACGACACCUCCGCGUUCAACACACGUACGGAGCAGCGACGUCUCCUCCUUCUUGAUCCAGCAAGGGGGAAGGAGAGGUUGAUGGAGAUCCAACAACACGACGGCGUGGUGGUGGAAGUAGCGGGAUUCCAACAGGGCUUCGCUAAGCGCUGCGGGAGGAGGGAGAUGUGUCACGGGAGGGAGAGGGAGGCGCCAGGCCUUAGGUAUGGUUGCUCCUCCUUUUCCCCACUAUAUAUAGGGCCAAGGGAGAGGGGGGAGGCGCAGCCCUUACCCCUUCCUCCAAGGAAGGGUGCGGCCAAGGGGGGGAGGAGUCCAUCCUCCCCAAGGCACCUCGGAGGUGCCUUCCCCUUUUAGGACUCUCCCCUUUUUCUCUUCUCUUGGCGCAUGGGCCUCUUGGGGCUGGUGCCCUUGGCCCAUGUAGUCCAAGGCGCACCCCCUACAGCCCAUGUGGCCCCCCGGGGCAGGUGGCCCCACCCGGUGGCCCCCCGGGACCCUUCCGGUGGUCCCGGUACAAUACCGGUGACCCCGAAACUUGUCCCGAUGGCCGAAAUAGCACUUCCUAUAUAUAAUUCUUUACCUCCGGACCAUUCCUGAACUCCUCGUGACCUCCGGGAUCUCAUCCGGGACUCCGAACAACUUUCGGGUUACCGCAUACUAAUAUCUCUAUAACCCUAGCGUCACCGAACCUUAAGUGUGUAGACCCUACGGGUUCGGGAGACAUGCAGACAUGACUGAGAUGACUCUCCAGUCAAUAACCAACAGCGGGAUCUGGAUACCCAUGUUGGUUCCCACAUGUUCCACGAUGUCAAGGACUUAAUCAAUCCCGUAUACAAUUCCCUUUGUCUAGCGGCAUUGUACUUGCCCGAGAUUCGAUCGCCGGUAUCCCGAUACCUUGUUCAAUCUCGUUACCAGCAAGUCUCUUUACUCGUUCCGUAACACAUCAUCCCGUGAUCAACUCCUUGACCGCAUUGUGCACAUUACGAUGAUGUCUUACCGAGUGGGCCCAGAGAUACCUCUCCGUCACACAGAGUGACAAAUCCCAGUCUCGAUUCGUGCCAACCCAACAGACACCUUUUGAAGAUACCCGUAGUGUACCUUUAUAGCCACCCAGUUACGUUGUGAUGUUUGGCACACCCAAAGCACUCCUACGGUAUCCGGGAGUUGCACAAUCUCAUGGUCUAAGGAAAUGAUACUUGACAUUAGAAAAGCUUUAGCAUACGAACUACACGAUCUUGUGCUAUGCUUAGGAUUGGGUCUUGUCCAUCACAUCAUUCUCCUAAUGAUGUGAUCCCGUUAUCAAUGACAUCCAAUGUCCAUGGUUAGGAAACUGUAACCAUCUAUUGAUCAACGAGCUAGUCAACUAGAGGCUUACUAGGGACAUGGUGUUGUCUAUGUAUCCACACAUGUAUCUGAGUUUCCUAUCAAUACAAUUCUAGCAUGGAUAAUAAACGAUUAUCAUGAACAAGGAAAUAUAAUAAUAAUCAAUUUAUUAUUGCCUCUAGGGCAUAUUUCCAACACGGUGAAGAUUUCGCAACUAUUACCGAGAAGGUAAUGUCGCCACUGCUUCAGUGCAUGAAUGACAGCAGCAAGCUCGAGGUCGUGAACUGGGUAGUUUUCUUCGUGAGGGCGCAGUUGAUGAGAGGCAUAAGCAAUCACUCUGCGCUCUUGCAUUAGGACACGGCCUAAUCCUUGACGGGAAGCAUCAUAGUAAAUGACGAAGUCCUUAGUAUCAGGUGGAGCAAGCACUGGGGCAGAAGUCAACUUGUCUUUGAGCGCCUGGAAACUUUCCUAACACUUGUCUGUCCAGUCGAACUUGACACCCUUAUGCAACAGAUUAGUCAGAGGCCUGUCAAUCUUGGAGAAGUUCUCGACGAAUCGACGGCAAUAGCUGGCGAGACCGAGAAAACUUCGGACUUGCUUGACAUUCUUCGGAGGAGUCCAAUCGAGAAUAGCCUGAAGUCGUUUAGGGUUGACGGCAAUACCAUCCUUGGAGAUGACAUGCCCAAGAUAGGUUACUUUGGGGAGCCAGAAUUCACACUUGGAAUACUUAGCAUACAGUUGAUGCUCUCGAAGCUUUUCCAGCACAAGACGAAGAUGUUCAGCAUGUUCUUCCUUGAUCUUGGAAAAUACAAGGAUAUCGUCCAAAUAAACCACGACGAACUUGUCGAGGUAAUCCAUGAAUAUAUAGUUUAUCAGACGAGAGAAGGUGGCUGGAGCAUUCGUUAAGCCGAAUGACAUGACGGUGUAAUCGUAUGAUCCAUACCGAGUCACGAAGGCGGUUUUUGGGAUAUCCUCUUCACGAACACGGAUCUGGUGGUAACCCAACCUCAAGUUGAGUUUGGAGAACACUGAUGAGCCAGCCAGUUGAUCAUAAAGAUCAUUGAUCCGAGGAAGAGGGUAUUUAUUCUGAAUGGUAGCUUGGUUUAUAGGACGGUAGUCUUGGACUAAUCGGUUUGUCCCAUCCUUCUUCUUAACAAAGAGAGAAGGUGCUCCCCAAGGAGAGCAACUUGGGCGAAUGAAACCUUUGACAAGAGAUUUGUCGAUUUCCUCCUUAAGCUCAAUGAGUUCAUGUGGCGGCAUCUUGUAGGGUUGUUUGGCUAUAGGGGUGGUGCCGGGUUUCAAGUCGAUGAUGAAUUCGACAACUCUAGCAGGGGGAAUCCCUGGAAGUUCUUCUGUGAAGACGUCUUGGAAUUCACAAACAAUGAGAAUGUUUUCAAUGCCCUCGAGUGGUGCAGCGUUCAACGCAUUCAAGGCAUAAAGUUGUGCCUCGGCGUUCUGAACUAGAUGAGCUUGGUAAGCAAUUAUUUCAUUAGAAGGGUGUAGCAGAUGGACGACCUUAGUGGCGCAAACUAUAGAAGCAAUAUGCGCUUUCAACCAAUCCAUCCCCAGAAUGAGGUCGAUGUUAGACGACUUCAGGAUAAUGGGAGAGGCAUAGAAUUCCAGCCCUUCGAUUUCCAUGGGGACGUCGAUGCCAACCAGUGAGGUUUGACAUUGUCCCACGGGGUUUUUACAAUACCGAAGUGUUCAUCUCCUCACAUUUAACAUCAUGCUUGUAUGCAAAAUCGUCUGACAUGAAUGAAUGCGAUGCUCCUGAAUCGAAUAAAACAGAUGCAGGUACUAAAUUUACAAGGAGUGUACCCAUCACGGUAGCAGGCUGGUCUAGAACUUCAUUGAGAUCAGUGUGGUUGGCAUGAACACGACCAUUGAGGUCCAAACCACACCUUCUCCUUUCCGUGAGUUAUCAUCAGAGCGCUUCCAGCAAAGGUCCAUUCCAACAUGACCAGCUGUCGCAGCUCCUCCCCUCGCCCCUCCGGUCCCAAACCCGGGGACUGGGAGAGUUGCACCAUCCCGCAUAGCAAGUUAGCGUCACUUCAGGCCAAGGGAUUCCUCCCUCAGGCAUACAUGGUCCCGGUCCGAGCCGGUCUCGCCACCUAUAAUGGCAGAAAACAAGCGGAGAGCACCCCCAAUCCUUCUAAAGGAGAGCGGGUGUGCCUCGUCCCCUAUCUAAUAAGGGGACUGGGAUUUCCAAUUCACCCGUUUCUCCACGGGCUUCUGGAGUUCUACGGCCUCCAGCUGCACCAUCUCACGCCCGCCUCCGUAUUGCACAUCGCAGGUUUCGUCGCCCUUUGCGAGCUAUUUUUAGGUGUGGAGGCUCAUUUCGCGCUGUGGAAGAGGUUAUUCUGCCUGGUGCCCCGUUCUGAAAAGGGGUCUAUAUAUCAAGUGGGCGGAGCCGAAGUAUGGCGCAUCGCCGGGACCAGAUACCUAUCCGGAACCCCAAAGAAGGCGUCCGAGGACUGGCCUUCGGAAUGGUUUUACAUAGAUGACGUCCCGCUUCCGGACCCUAUCCGGGUCGGUCUCCCUGAGUUCAACAGUGCUCCAUUGAAGAAAUGCUUGAGCUGGCGUCCGCGGAGCUCUUAGAGAGAAAGUGAUAGAGACGUCCUUUACCUGAUGGGCCGGAUAAGACUGUUGGCUCAUUCUGGACUAACCAUGAUUGGAGUCAUGGCCGCAUGCAUUAUGCGGGGGGUGCAGCCGCUUCAAUAUAGAGGCCACCCCAUGUGGGAUUUCAACGGGGAGGAUGACGCCACACGUUACGGUCGUAAGGGGCCGGACUCACCGCCGCCUUAGUAAAGAUCUUAUCCUCUUUGUAUAAGGGAGAAAAGGAGGAAUUCCUCCGCGUCAAUCCGCAGGCCGGAUUUACUAUGUACGAUCCUCCAAGUUGGGUAAGUGAAUAAUUGCGCUUGCCUGUUUGUUCUAUACUCCCACGGUUAGAUAUGUAGUCUAAUGACUUUAGUGCAGGAACUGCGACAGGAGGUAAAGGAUAUAAACAGACGCCCUCCACAGCCCGAGGACCCAGAACGGUCCCUCGAUCCGGACUCCGAAGAGGAUCCGGACAUAUCGGUGGAGCUUAUCGACGGGGUGUUCCAUCAGCUAAGCAAGGACAAUACCUUGGUAGCCAUCACGGCUGAUUACCCAAGGUUAAUCCCGGCCUCCAAGGUGACAGAAGCCGGCGUCUCAUUCCCUCGAGAGAGAUUGCACUCUCGCGUAUUCUGGUGUUUCUGACGACAACCGUGUUUUGCAGGGGAGUUUUCCAAGGUAGGAGGCCGAACCUGCGGCGGCCAGCCAACGAGGGGCCGCAGGGCCCCGUGGGGCAAAAAGGAAUGAAGUCCGGACUGAGAUGCCGGCGCAAAGGUAUAGUGCACCCUCUGUUUCCCUGGUGUUAUUCUGUCAAGGCAUAUUAACGUUCGUGCUAUCUUCAGAAUGAAGAGACCUCGCCGGACUACAUCCGGAGAGGUUGCCAAUCGCGCCUCCACCAGCCAGGCUCCAACGGCUGGCCAGGAAGCGGAGGCGAGCACAAGGCGCGUACCGGACGCUCCUCCGACAGAGGAUGAGGACAGGCUAUCUGCCACAAAUUCUGAUGUGGAGAGUGCCAUGAACCACAGGCGUCGCCGGGCAGUUCUACGCGACGCUUGUUUCUCCCAAGAGGCUUUAGAUGCCUUUAAUUCGGGAGAUGCGUACCUCCGUGCCGCUCAAAAUGGUUUAGCCAGGGCCACGGAGCAGUAUGUAAAAGACAUACGGGUAAGAAAAUUUUGGUCAAAUAUAUAUAUACCAGUAGCCCCCGAGACUUGAAACAGUUAGAGCAACUGAUUUAAGGAUCUUUUAAUAUGCAGGUUCUUACAGAGAAGAAUACUGUACUGUCCCAGGAGCUGGAAAAGUGCAGGGCCCAACUAGAGGCCGCACUAGCCGCAGCAGGGGAGUCCAAAGAGACCCCCUCAGGUAAGAUAGACUUCGAAAGAUUAGUAUUGUGCGGUGUGGGUGUAAAUCUGACAAAUCAUAUUGCAGAUGGCGCCGGACUCGAUCCGGACAAACAACAACUCUUACGCCAGCUAAAGGCCGGUGAGAGUAUGUUGACAAGGGUGAGGCGAGAGAAGAAUGAUCUUCAGGAUGCCAACACCAAGCUGGACGUCGAACUUAAAGAUGUUCGUGGCCAGCUGUCGGACUCCACGAAGGAGAAUCAGCGGCUUCGACGCGGCAUUUUUAGUAAGUGCUUGAACGAACUUUGAAAAAAGAGUUCGGCGAAGAAGUCGACUAAUAGAGUAAUGUCUGUAGGUAUGCUCACAGGUCGUCCUGCUGAGGAGAUGCCCGGUUCUACGGGUGACCUUCUUCCCGAACUCAUGCAACUGCACGAGCGAAUUCAGCAGGCGAUGCGAGGUGUUGCCCAAGCCUUAUGGCCUGCCCACUCCAUGCCCGAGGGCCUUGGAGAGCUGGCGGAGAAGCUGAAGGGAGCUCGGCGGCGCUUCCGGUUGUGGAAGAUAUCGGCCUGCCGACAAGGCGCUAGGGAAGCCUGGGCCAUGGUGAAGACCCGUUUUACGAAGUCUGACCCAAACCACAUGGCCGAGGUCGGACCAGUGGGGCCUGACGGGAAGGAGAUCCCCGUGAGCUUAGUAUACGGCCAAGUAGAGUUGGCCGCGAAGUAUUCCAAGCAGUACUGUAAAUUAGACAGCCUGUUAGAUGGUAUAGAAGAGGAAUACAAUCAGUCAUAAUGACUAUGUAAUUUUGAAUUGACAUGUGUAAUGCCUUCUAGCCGGAUUGUAGAUCAUUUGUCGUUGCCGACCUUUUCGCUUCGACCUCGGGACCUGACGGUCCGGAGUGUGUCCGAAUACCAUAGCGGUUAUAUAAGAACCGUGGUAUGCGUGGAGACCAGGCAUAGGGGUCAUUAGUGCUUUAUCAGACAAGUGCCCAACUAGUGAUGUUAUAUUACAUGGUUAGUAAGAAACAUCUUCCAGAGAGAAUAGUUCCGUUAGGGGUUCCUUUCGCUGGGAGGCAUGCCCUAAAGUGCAUGUCCGGACUGCGUAAAGAUACGCAGAAAAAAGCAUCUGGGGGCGCAUAAAAAGAAAAGGAUCAUCUCUUAUCUCACCGACCGAAUAUUCCCUUAAGAACGCUAGCUUUCGGCUUCACCCAGUCUGAGGUACACAUCCGGCUGACCCGGCAGUAACAAUCGCAGAGGUGCUCCCUUUACCAUCUAGCCGAACAAUCGGGAAUGUAGGGGUAAGCACAGGAGCCAGGCAACCCAGCUUGGCCAAAACUUAAGUCAUAUCGAUGCAUAUAAUGGUGAAGAAAAAGGUACAUGCGGAAGUUUGACGCAUGUGUUGGGUGUGAAGCCCGUAUAAAUAAGCUUCUGUUAAAGAAGCCCCCAGGUUUAAUGAGCGCGAGUGGCGCGUCACCAGAUAAGCCUUUAAGGGCUAUAAAAGAAAAGAGGGGAAGGAGAGAAAUGUAAGACAGAAAAAUGCAAAAAAUGGACAGAGGAAGGAGACGAACACAGAGUCCGGCGCUAGGCAUAGAAUCUUCGGAGAUGGGUGGCGUUCCAUGGGUUCGGCUCGAGUCGGUUAUCCGACGCAUCUCGCAGGCGGUAUGCCCCGCCAGUCAGGACUUGGUCGAUUAUGAAUGGACCUUCCCACUUGGGCUUGAGUUUGUCCUUUUUCUUAUCCGGCAGGCGUAGAACUAGUUCGCCAACAUUGUAAUUUUUGUCCCGUACUUCUCUGCUUUGAUAUCUUCGGGCAUGUUGUUGAUAAAAUGCGGAACGGGCUUUUGCCACGUCGCGCUCUUCCUCUAGGGCGUCCAAGUUGUCCUGCCGAUCGAGCUCGGCUUCUCUUUCUUCGUACAUGCGCACUCUAGGCGAGUCAUGAAUUAUGUCGCAGGGCAGAACUGCCUCUGCGCCGUACACCAUAAAAAAUGGUGUGUAUCCGGUGGUGUGAUUUGGCGUGGUCCGCAGCCCCCAUAGCACGGAGUCGAGCUCCUCUACCCAGUGCGUGUCAGAUUCCUUGAGAGACCGCACCAGUCUGGGUUUAAUGCCGCUCAUUAUAAGACCAUUUGCACGUUCGACCUGGCCGUUGGUUUGUGAGUGAUAGACGGAAGCAUAAUCGAGCUUGAUGCCCAUGUUUUUGCACCAGAGUUUUACCUCGUCGGCGGUAAAGUUUGUACCAUUAUCGGUUAUGAUGCUAUGGGGGACGCCAUAGCGGUGUACCACCCCGGAUAUGAAGUCUAUCACAGGUCCGGAUUCGGCCGUUUUAACAGGCUUGGCUUCUAUCCAUUUGGUGAAUUUGUCCACCAUGACCAGUAAGUAUUUUUUCCUAUCGGUCCCACCUUUAAAGGGUCCGACCAUGUCAAGCCCCCAGACCGCAAAAGGCCAGGUGAUGGGUAUAGUUUGGAGUGCGGUGGGUGGCAUAUGGCUUUGGUUGGCAAAAAGUUGGCAACCAGCGCAUCGUUGGACUAAGUCCUAAGCGUCUGCCCGGGCCGUCGGCCAAUAAAAGCCUGUACAGAAAGCCUUGCUAACAAGGGACCGAGCAGCGGCGUGGUGACCACCGAGUCCGGCAUGAAUUUCAGCCAGAAGGUUCCGCCCUUCCUCUUCGGAGAUGCACCUUUGAAGGACUCUGGUAGUGCUUUUCUUGUAAAGCUCUCCCUCAUGGACUCUAUAGGCUUUAGAUCGCCGCACUAUGCAGCGGGCCUCGUUUUGGUCCUCCGGGAGUUCCUGCCUAGGAAGGUAGGCUAGGAAUGAUUCUGUUCACGGGGCGAUGACCGCCAUUAUUACGUGGGCUGAAGGUGUAAUUUCAUUGGUAGAGCCUCCAAUUGUGUCAGAUUGUUCGGAUAUAAUGAAGCCCAAGAGCUUUCCAGCUGGAACGCCGAAGACGCAUUUUUCUGGGUUGAGCUUGAUAUCGUAUUUUUGGAGGUUAUCGAAAGUAAGCCUCAAGUCGUCUAUUAGAGAUUCGACAUGUCUUGAUUUGACGACCACAUCAUCCACAUACGCUUCCACUGUUUUGCCGAUCUGAUUUGCCAGACAUGUCUGGAUCAUGCGCUGAUAUGUUGCGCCGGCGUUUUUCAGCCCGAAGGGCAUUGUGUUGAAGCAGAAUGGGCCGUAUGGUGUGAUGAAUGCUGUUGCAGCUUGGUCUGAUUCUGCCAUCUUGAUUUGAUGGUAACCGGAGUAUGCGUCGAGGAAACACAACGAGUCGUGUCCUGCGGUGGCAUCGAUAAUUUCAUCGAUACGGGGGAGGGGGAAGGGAUCCUUUGGGCAAACCUUGUUAAGGUCUUUAAAAUCGACACACAGGCGCCAGGAUUUGUCCUUCUUUGGUACCAUCACCAAGUUUGCUAGCCAGUCCGGAUGUUUUAUGUCUCUAAUGAAUCCGGCCUCCAAUAGCUUGGCUAGCUCCUCUCCCAUAGCCUGUCUCUUGGGUUCGGUAAAACGCCAAAGGGCUUGUUUGACAGGUUUGAAUCCUUUUAGGAUAUUUAAGCUGUGUUCGGCCAGCUUGCGUGGGAUCCCUGGCAUGUCUGAAGGGUGCCAGGCUAAAAUGUCCCAGUUCUCUCGUAGGAACUCUCGCAGUGCGGCAUCUACAUCAGGGCUCAGUCGUGCCCCGAUGGAAGCUGUUUUAUUGGGGUCCGUUGGAUGGACCUGGAAUUUGACUAUUUCGUCAGCUGGCUUGAAGGAUGUGGAUUUGGAUCUCUUAUCGAGUAUCACAUCAUCCCUGUUAACCGUGGAGCGCAGCGCAGUCAGUUCCUCGGCCGCUAGGGCUUCGGAUAGUGCCUCAAGGGCUAAUGCGGCCGUCUUGUUUUCGGCGCGAAGUGCAACGUCUGGAUCAGUAGCUGGAGUGAUAAUUCCGUUCGGCCCGGGCAUCUUAAGCUUCAUGUACCCGUAAUGGGGUAUUGCUUGGAAAAUUGUGAAUGCUUCCCGUCCCAGUAAAGCGUGAUGUCCGCUCUUAAACGGGGCCACUUGAAACGUGACUUCUUCAGACCUGUAAUUAUCCGGCGUGCCGAACACCACAUCUAGUGUGAUUUUUCCUGUGCAGCGCGCUUCCCGACUGGGGAUUAUUCCUCUAAAGGUUGUGCUGCUUCGCUUGAUGCGGCUCCAGUCUAUUUCCAUUUUUUGAAGGGUUUCCUCAUAAAUGAGGUUCAGUCCGCGGCCUCCAUCCAUGAGCACCUUGGUGAGGCGAAAGCCGUCCACUGUGGGACUGAGGACCAAUGCGGCUGGUGCUCAGGCUGUUCGGAAUUUAGGUUCAUCACCUGCGUUGAUGGUAAUAGCAGUGUCGCUCCAUGGAUUUAUUGUUGCAACUUGAUAGACUUCGUCGGGGCUGCGGAGUGUUCUUUUUCGCACAUUGUUUGAUGCGAAAGUCUCAAAGACUGUGAGAAUGGUACUGGUGUCCUCGGGCUGGCUUUCUGCAGCCUCCAGGAUUAAGAGGUCCUCGCCGAUUUUGGCCACCUGCCGGAGUAUCCAACAUGCUCUGAGGCUGUGAGUUGGUGUGGCGUCCUCUAUACUGUGAAUUCUACAGGGUUCAUCAAGCCACCUUUCCAGUACGGUUCCAUGCCCUGUAGAGGGUUUUGGCUUUUUGGUGUUUAUCCCGGGUGUCCUAUGAUGAUGCACCCUCUUAGUUCGGACGUGAUUACUAUUCAAGGCCGGAUUAUCCCAAAAUUUUAUUUCGGUUUUCCAGGCGCUUUCCAUCGCACAAUAUUUUUGUACUAUGGACGCCAAGUCAGCGAAGCGUGUAAUAUCACGAUGACUUACGGCGUUAAGGAUUCCCUCGUCCGUGCAAUUACUGCAAAAAAUUGAGAUUGCGUCUUCCUCGCGGCAAUCCUUUAUCCUGUUCAUAACCAGGAGGAAUCUGGCCCAUUAAUGAUGUACUGUUUCCUCGGGCCUCUGCCUGAUUUGGGAGAGAUCGCUUAUGUUCGGGUGGGCGGGUGUCGUUGAAUCUGAAACCUCACCCAAUCCAAGAUUCGGAGGCCGAAGAGUUUCCGAACUCUGAAGUUCGGGUUCUUGGAUGUUGUCCAAUGAAUCUAGCCCGUUGCCUGAUCCUAAGCUCAGGUCUUGAGUUACAUCCUCCCCUCCGCGGGUAUCCGGCUUGGAGGAGUCGGGAAUUCGGACGUAGCUAGUCCUUAAAAUAGAUGAAGGGUCGCCGCACUGCGCCUCUACCACGGCAACGUGGUGGGUGACUUGGGGAGAGUUAAUUUCUCUUAGAUCAGGUUUAAGCCCAACCUGGUCGUAAUCUGUAGCGACCCCCAGGGCGGCGAUGCGAUCCAAGAGCUCGUUUACGGAAGAGAGCUCCAUUGGAUCUAGCUGCUCGAUGAGCUCCGAGCUGACGUGUAGGUUGCUUUUGAUGACCCGAGAGGUCACUGUCAGCGCAACAACCAAACAGGUGGUCAUGAGGAAACCACCUAGCCGGAGGGUCUGGCCAACAGCCAAGGCUCCCUUAGCAACGGCACCGUCUUUAAAGAUGGGAAGAGGCAUCCUUCCUGAUUGUGACGGCACAGAGGAACUCUCAAUGAAAGCACCAAUGUCGGUGUCAAAACCGGCGAAUCUCGGGUAGGGGGUCCCGAACUAUGCGUCUAGGCCGGAUGGUAACAGGAGACAGGGGACACUUUGUUUUACCCAGGUUCGGGCCCUCUCGAUGGAGGUAAUACCCUACUCCUGCUUGAUUAAUAUUAAUGAUAUGGGUAGUACAAGAGUAGAUCUACCACGAGAUCAAGGAGGCUAAACCCUAGAAGCUAGCCUAUGGUAUGAUUGUUGUGUAUGGAGUUGAUUGCCUACGGACUACAACCCUUCGGUUUAUAUAGACACCGGAUAGGGUUAGGGUUGCACAGAGUCGGUUACAAUGGUAGGAGAUCUUGAAUAUCCGCAUUGCCAAGCUUGCCUUCCACGUCAAGGAAAGUCCCAUCCGGACACGGGACGAAGUCUUCAAUCUUGUAUCUUCAUAGUCCAGGAGUCCGACUGAAGGUAUAGUCCGGCUACCCGAACACCCCCUAAUCCAGGACUCCCUCAGGAGGUGUCCAACUCCUGAUACUCUCCACGAAGACGUGUCAGAGCAGCAUAAGCAGCAUCGUGGACCGCCAUGUCGAUAGUCACUCCAACACCAUGAGCAGUGUGCAGCACAGUAGUGGAGUCAUACUCUCGAGAGUAGAGAUGGACGAUGGCACGGUACUACUCCUGGUUGAAGUCUUGGUACUCCUCAUAGACGGUGUACUCAGGGUGCCAACGAUAACCCAGAUAGGACAUCAUCUCAACCAACACAGCAGGUGAUCCCGAGGCACCAAUGGCCGUCGUGUGGCACACGACCUGUCUCGUGGGUUCCAUCUGAAAACAAAGACGUUUCAAAGGAGUCAACUGACAGUGUGGAUAAUGUUCAAUAUACAACUCUAAAGAAUAGGUUGGGCUUAUCCAACUUUGGGGUGAACGUGGUUAUGGGAUCCUAGUGUUAGAGUUAGUAAAAUCGUUUAACCCGAGUAGGAGAGAGUUCAGAGUCCCAGAGUAAGGAUCGAGGAGUAAAAGAUCCUAAUACCACCUAGAUGGCGACGUGGGCCCGUAAGGCACAGAGCCAUGUUAGUAAAAGUUUUUGUAAUGUCUAGACUCGACUUCGGCCAAGGAGUGUGGAAGGGGGAUUCCUACAGGCAGUCGGCUCUUAUACCAACUUGUGACGCCCCCGAUUCAAUCGUACACUAAUCAUACACGCAAACGUGUACAAUCAAGAUCAGAGACUCACGGGAAGAUAUCACAACACAACUCUACAAAUAAAAAUAAGUCAUACAAGCAUCAUAUUACAAGCCAGGAGCCUCAAGGGCUCGAAUACAAGAGCUCGAUCAUCGACGAGUCAGUGGAAGCAACAAUAUCAGAGUACAGACAUAAGUUAAACAAGUUUGCCUUAAGAAGGCUAGCACAAACUGGGAUACAUAUCGAAAGAGGCGCAGGCCUCCUGCCUGGGAUCCUUCUAAACUACUCUUGGCCGUCGUCAGCGGGCUGCAUGUAGUAGUAGGCACCUCCCGAGUAGUAGUAGUCGUCAUCGACGGUGGCGUCUGGCUCCUGGGCUCCAACGUUUGGUCGCAACAAUCGAGUAUAGAAAGGGGGAAAAGGGGGAGCAAAGCAACCAUGAGUACUCAUCCAAAGUACUCGCAAGUAAGGAGCUACACUACAUAUGUAUGCAUUGGUAUCAAAUGGAAAAGGCUAUCAUAUGUGGACUGAACUGCAGAAUGCUGGAAUAAGAGGGGGAUAGUGUCACGCCCUCGAUGCGGCUAUAUCUCCCACGUGUCGAAGCACGACUUAGAGGCAUAACCGCAUUGAAAGCAAUGUCGCAAGUGAGGUAAUCUUCGCAAACAACCCAUGUAAUACAAUAGGGGGAAAGAUACAUAGUUGGCUUACAAUCACCACUUCACACAAUUACAUGAAUAAAGCAUUACAUCAUCCAAAUACACUCAAGGUCCGACUACGGAACCAAAAUAAAAGAAGAACCCCAAAUGCGACAAAGGUCCCCGGUCGACCCCAACUGGGCUCCACUACUGAUCAACUAGAACGAAGUAACACAAAGGACAAGAUCUUCAACGAGCUCCUCCUUGAGCUUGGUUGCGUCACCUGCUCUGUUCAACGGCACCUGCAAGUUGGUUUUGGAAGUAUCUGUGAGCCACAGGGACUCAGCAAUCUCGCACCCUCGCGAUCAAGACUAUUUAAGCUUAUGGGUAAGGUAAAGGUAUGAGGUGGAGCUGCAGCAAGCGACUAGCAUAUAUGGUGGCUAACAUACGCAAAAGGGAGAGAGAAGAGAAGGCAAAGCACGAUCGAUAAAAGUAUGAUCAAGAAGUGAUCCUAGAACAACCUACGUCGAGCAUAACUCCAACACCGUGUUCACUUCUCGGACUCCGCCGGAAAGAGACCAUCACGGUUACACACGCUGUUGAUAUAUUUUAAAUUAAGGUUAACUUCAGGUUUUCUACAACAGGACGUUAAUAAAUUCCCAUCUGCCCAUAACCGCUGGCACGGCUUUCGGAAGUUCAAAUCCCUGCAAGGGUGUCCCAACUUAGCCCAUGACAAGCUCUCACGGUUAACGAAGGAAUAGACCUCCUCCCGAGACAUUCCGAUCAGACUCGGUAUCCCGGUUCUUCAAGACAUCCUCGACAAUGGUAAAACAAGUCCAGCAAAGCCGCCCGAUGUGCCGACAUCCUGAUGGGAGCUGCACAUAUCUCAUUCUCAGGGCAACACCGGAUAGGUCAAGUUACGAGUAAAACCAGCCCUCAAGUUUCCCUGAGGUGGCCCCGCAGGCUGCCCAUUUCGGACCAACACUUAGACAAGCACUGGCCCGGGGGGUUAAAAUAAGAUGACCCUCGGGAUGCGCGACUCCCAAGGGAAAAAAGGCUAGGUGGCGAAUGGUAAAACCAAGGUUGGGCCUUGCUGGAGGAGUUUUAUUCAAAGCGAACUGUCAAGGGGUUCCCAUUAUAACCCAACCGCGUAAGGAACGCAAAAUCCGGGAACAUAACACCGAUAUGACGGAAACUAGGGCGGCAAGAGUGGAACAAAACACCAGGCAUAAGGCCGAGCCUUCCACCCUUUACCAAGUAUAUAGAUGCAUUAAUUAAAUAAGAGAUAUUAUGAUAUCCCAACAAGUAAAAUGUUCCAACAAGGAACAACAUCUCCAUGUUCCAACAAGGAACAAACUUCAAUCUUCACCUGCAACUAACAACGCUAUAAGAGGGGCUGAGCAAAGUGGUAACAUAGCCAAUCAACGGUUUGCUAGGAUAAGGUGGGUUAGAGGCUUGGUUCAACAAUAUGGGAGGCAUGAUAAGCAAGUGGUAGGUAUCGCAGCAUAGGCAUAGCAAAAGAGCGAGCAUCUAGCAAGCAAAGAUAGAAGUGAUUUCGAGGGUAUGGUCAUCUUGCCUGAAAUCCCGCAAGGAAUAAGAACGAGUCCAUGAAGAAGACAAACAGACGUAGUCGAACGGAUCCUCACACACACGACAUUAUCGGAACCAACCCGAAGAAGCAAACACUGGAAAGAAGCAAACAAUCAUGGUAAACAACCACCACAUAAGCAUGACAUGAUGCGCAAACAAGUAUGAUGCAUGUCAAGUUUAAUGAGGCAUGGCAUGGCAAAGUGCACAAACAGCCCUACAAAUUAAGUGGAGCUCAAUAUGCAACUCCGUUGCAUAUUGACGAAACACCACAUUCAAGUUAUUUAGUUCGAUCUCGGUUAGGUACUCAACAAAAUUAAAUGUUUGUUAACAUGGCAAGAGGUGAAGCAUAUGAAAAAAAAACUACCUAUCUAGGCAAGUUUAAAUGAGGUCGGAACAACAAACUACAAUUCCGAUAAAUCCUCAUGUGCAUUAGCAAUUUAAUGCAACAACAAUUUUUAAACAUAUUAAAUGUUGUUAUCAUGAUGCGGAUGUCAUGUUCAAGUUUAUGCAAUUUUAAGAAAAUGUUAAGAAGAGCAUAUUAUGAAGCAUUUGUCAUCGUGGCGGAAAUGAAAGGGGUGCCACGACAACGAAUACGAAAAUGAUGCCAUGGCAACAUAUCGGUUAUCCGGUAGCCCGCGGGGAUACCAGUGCAAAAGGAAGUGACGGGAGCGUGCAAAAUAUGGUGGGCUGAUCCCGGUAACCGGGUUCCCACAUGUCGGUGGCAAGGCAAAAGAGGGGCAACGUGCACCGAUAGUUAAGACUCGAGGCAAAACAAGGGUGCAUCUCAUACAACAUGCAUGCGUUCGUUCACGAGCGUCGUCUCGGGGUUAUACCUUCGAAGCGUGCAAACGGGACGAUUCCCGUUCGGUGCAAAGUAGAGGAAGUAGUUGUUCUCGUUUCGUAGUUGUACACACUCCGUAGGUGUUAGGGGUCACACCAAGGAACUUGUCGUCCGCGGGUUCUUCGAGGGUCGACGGUAGUGGUACUCGGUCGUUUUGAAGAGGUACUUCGCGACAUGCACGGGAUGGUAGUUGUACACGGUCAUCGUGGGAAGUAAAGGUACACACGAAGGUAGUCGAACUUGACGAUUCCGUUGCACAGUUCUUCGGCGACAGUAGUGGUACGCGUUUCGUAGCCGUUCAGGUCAUCGUUAGAGGAACUUGACAGAGUUGAAUCCCUUCGAGGUUGUUGUGGUACUUGGCGAUUUCGAAGGCGGCGGAAACAAACUUGGCGGUCUCCGUUGACCUGGUACUUGGCGAAUCCCUGUUCGGUGGUCUUCCUUGGCGGUUCAGGGCACGGUGCAUGUACUUGGCAUGAUGCAGGGGCGAUGGCCGCAGGACACUAGGACCCGAAGCGGAGGAGCAGGGGAUCGAGGCUCUGGCCAUCUCCUGAGGUGUUGCACUGGACGGUGGCGGUAAGGCGACAGCAGUAGAGCUGCCAUGGAUGGCAACAGCACCAUGGAAGAAGCAGGGGCGUGAGAACGGCGGAAGCGGCAAGGUGGACUUGGGCGCUGGAGGAAGCAGCAAGGUAGCACCAUGGAGUUCCUGGACGACGGGGCCAGAUUGGCCGGCAGGGCGCCAAGGGACAUCGAGGUGGCGGAGGUCGCAGGUCGGGUGUCAGGCUUGAGGUGCAGGGGAACCCCGGGCGGCGGCGAGGAUGGCCGGCUGCGAGGAGGCAGCAGAGACGCGACGAGGUGCAUCGGUGGGAGCUUCGAGCUCGGUCGGCUACGGCCAUGGAGGAUGGCGGCGCGAAGGCGGGGCCCUUGAGGGCACGGCGCUCGGGAUCCGGUGUUCUCCCAUGGUCGCGAUAGCGGCCCCUUCUCUGUGCAGCGAUGCCAGGAGGAAAGGGAAGAGAGGCGGCACGAGGCCAGGAGAGGGCGUCGGCGAGGAUGGGAUCGAGGGAGAGGGUGAGGAGGCACUGGAUGAUCGAGAGGGAGAAGGAGGUCGAGCGCACGGGGAUGGGAUCGAGGGAGAAAGAGGCUGGCGGCGUGAGGAUGAGUCGAGGGAGAGAGGAGGGAUGCGCUAGGGUUAGUGCGGCUGGGCUGCGAGAUGGCCUUGGGCCAAAUGGGCCUUAGAGGCCGGCGGGGCUGCUGGUUGGACCUCGAUCUGCUGAGCCAGACCAUGGAGAGGGAAAGGCCAGAGGCCUGGUCGGCUGUUGUUGCUGGCAUCUACCUCUCUCUUCUUCAAAUCUCUCACAAAAACAGGAAAGCAAAGAAAUAAAAGGAGAGAAAAGAAAUGAGUGGACAAGAAUUUGGGCAAAGGGAUUAUUUUCCCGGACUCACAAAAAUACGCUUGUUUCGAGAAAAUAUAAAAGGCCAAGAUUGGAAGAUGUAAAUUCAAACUCAUUUGAAUUUAAUUCAAAUGGGUUUGAACUAGGACUAGGUUUUGGAAGUGUCCAAAAAUGUUGAGAAUUUAGGUGGAGCUCCGGAAAAUGACGAAAGGAUAUAUGGCAAUGUUUGAGGAGCAACUCGAAGCAGAAAAGACUUGAGAGUUACAUUGCAAGUGCGUCACGGUAACUCCACAAGAAUAGAAAUAUUUAUAAUAGCUCCCUAAUAUCGGGAGGAUAUGUUAUAAAGAGAAUCACCAUGUGAAUUCCCUCGAUUUAAAUGGACCGAAAAUCCAUGCAAUUUAUUUAGUGAGAUGCAAAAGACUUAUGACAUGAUGACAUGAUGACAUGAUGCAAUGCACGAAUAAAAGGGCGGCACAAAUGAAACACACGGCGAAACCCAGAACACAUGGAAGGCAUCUGAAGCUCCGGUCUUGGGGCGUCACAACACUUCACCACUAUGAGAGGAUCUCGUCCCGAGAUCUAGGAUGGCACCGGAGGGAAACGGAAAAGGAAGAGAAGAGGUAAAACUAAUUGCUUCUUUGACAAAUGAGUGAAACCAAAGAACCUUGCGAGGUUGAACAAAUUUAAAGAAGAAAACAACGAAGAUGGACGAAGUUGAAAACACUCCGUUAGAAAAGAGAAACAGGGAAGAACAAAUUCGGACAACACUCCGGUAGAAAAGAGAUGCAAGGCUUGAUAAGGCGAAAAGAACUUGAGCAAAAGGGCACAACACUCCUGUUAAAUGGAUAGGCAUGAAAAGAACAUGAUCUUUGAAAAAACGAGAUGAUGGGUGAAAAGAACAACGUCGCAAUGCCUCCGGAAGAGAGAAAUAGAAUAUAGAUCAUUGAAAUAAAAGAAUGGAGAAGAAAAGCCAACUUCUGCCACAAAGAGCUUGAAAAGGCAUCUUUAGGAGAAGGGUCGAACGGAGUUGUUGGAACACCAACAACGGGAGGACAAACUUGAAGUGGACUUAUAGAAGGCAUCUCAAUAUUAUGAGGUGACAACUUGCCACUCACAGAAAAAAAUUGAUUGGGUUGAUAACAACGAGGAGACGAGAAACUUAUUUCACCGGGAGGAUAAAUGAAGAACUUGGGUCAAUUAUAAGCACCAUAAUAGCAACAAUCCUUAGGGAAAGCUUUAGGUGAAAUAUAACCCAAUAUAACUCCAAUGACGAGAUUGAUGGAUUUAAAAUAUCUCAUUCUUGACCACAUGUGAAUCAUGAAAACAUGAACUCAAUUAUCAAGAAUGACAUAAAACCACCUCCAAUAAUAUGGAAGAAAGAAUUGCACUCCCGAUAGCAAGAUGGAGAAUGCUUGAACUCCUUUGAAAAGAAUCUCAAUGAACACUUCGAGAAGGAAAUAAAUCCUUGAUGAACCAUCAUGUAGGGCCUUCAUGAAGAACUCCGGUAAUGAAAGAAUGAUCAAACAAAAGAAAGAGAAGUUGAAGGCACAAGGUGAAUCCUGCUAAUGACUUAGAUGGAUCUCCGUGAUGAAAUAGUUGAAAAAGGUUGGAACUCCAGGAAAAAGAGAAGAUGAACAAUUGGAAACAAGAAUUUUGAUGAACCUCCAGAAUAAGGAAUUGAAUAAACUCGAUGAAACAAGAAUAAGAAUUACAUUAUGCGUAUCCUUCAUCAAUUAAAAUUGAUGACAAGCAAUGGAAUUGGCAUACUACUUAUUCUCGUAGAAAGGAUUAUGAUAGAUAUAGCGCCAACUUGAGAAAGUCUUCAGCAAGUCACCGGUAGGAUAGAAAAACAACGAAAGAAUUAGUAUGAUAACCAAGGAAGAGAUCUUGAGCGAACCACCGUAAAAGUUGAAAAGAACGAUGAGAAGAAAAAGAAACACCAGGUAAGAAUUAGCAAAUGAAUGAAGAAGCUUGAGAGAAUUUAGAUACAAGAGAACAAAGAGAUCACGAGCUGAUUAAAGAUCACUUAAACGAAGCACCGGUAAGAUUGGAGAAUGAUAACUGAAAGCUGAGAAAGAAUACCCCUGAAUUGAUGGACUCCGGAUAACAAAUUGAGAAGACUCUUGAAUUAGCUCCGGAUAGUUGAAAAGAAUUCUCGCAAUCCAAAAACAACUAUGAGAGGAUGGCAACAAGCUAGAAUCACGAAUCUUGAAGAGAAUGGAGCAAGAUAUGGAGGAAAAUUCUUCUUCGGUCUUCAAGUGUUAUGAAAGAUGAUGACAGACACCACCAUAAAUUAUUGAGGCACUCCGGAAGAAACAAAAGCGAAGAGGUUGAGCCAACUAUGAAAAGAAUUUGGAAGAUCUUGGAGAAGUCAUUUGACUGACGAUAAUUCAUUCUUACGUCAAACUUCGAAAAGAAUUUAGUAUAGCUCCGGGAAAAUAAGAAGAGUCAGGUAAGAUCCUGGAAAAGACCUGUGGUUUAGGGCCCACUCAAAAGAAACACCGUAGAAUCAUUUGGAAGGGAGAUUGCACCGGUUGAAUUAAAUGGCUUGAAUGAGAUAACAUCCUCAAAAGAGCUUGAAUGAAUGUAGAGUGGAAAACACAAAUCAUCGAGAUAUCUUGAGCACUCCGAAACAAUAGAAUAGCAAGCGGGGAAGUUUAAGAGGUGCACCGGCAUGAAAAGACAUUUGAAACAAGGAAAAAGGAUAUGAUCAACACCAAAAGCUUGAAUUGGUUCCACCGGAGAAGAAAAAGAAUGGAUAAUGGUGAACUAGAAACUGCGUUAAAAUCUUCAUGAGCAUCACCGGGUACGAACAUGAAGGAAGAAGAAUGGAGAGACUUCCAUAAUAAAAUGGAUACUUGAUAAAGAAAUCCGAAUCCUAGGAGAAAAAACAAAGGGAGGGAGGGUGGGAAAAACAAAGACAAUUUGGAAUGGGUGAAACGAACACCGUUGAGAAGAACUGAUACUUGAUCUUGCUGAUGUUGAAAGGAUCGGAUCCACUUGAAGAGAAACAAGCCGGUGAAAAGGAUUGACAUGAGAAACUCGAUGAUCAAGAAGGAUUGGUAUCCACAUAUAAAUAUGAGAACACCGUUUAGGAAAGGUAUGGAAUCAACAUUUGACUUCGAAGCAACUCGAAUACCACGACUCAAAACAAAAACAAGGGAUUGGCUUGCAAAAUAAGCCGGAACAAACAUAUGAUGGAGUUUUCGUCCGAAGUUUUCGUGGUGGGGCCUACACGGGCUCGAUCGUACAGCAUCAUCAUGUACAAGGCAGUGCACAUGACAUACGAAGCGUCCCCGAGUCGGCAUAGCCAAGGACUCUUUAAGACACAACGAGACCACUGUAAAAUCGACCGUGAAUAGGCAGACCACUAGACGUCGAACCCCAAUUUCAUAUCAUACAUCUGUCGGAAAGAUAUCCUAAGAGCUACUUGAAUUCCCACUUAUAAACUCCCGAAACUUUCUGGUUAUGCAAUCAGGUGUUGGGGAUACAGGUGAAGCAUAAUAUCUCACCCAAACUAGCAAAUCCUACAUCCAGUUGUAUCCAUCCUUCAACACAUAACCAAGAAACCUUCGGAAAUCAUCUACCCCAACCUUCGAAAAGCAUCCGUUAUACGAGUUAUGGCAAUACUCCCGAACUCCCGCCCUAGUACUGGGUGGCAUCGAGGUUAUCUCACCAACGAACUGCAUAAAAGAGAUUUUCGAUGUCGGCUUACUAAACUCAGGUAUUCCAGAACUGCAACGAUAAGAUUAUGACGACAACACCUCGGAGCUCAACUCCCCGGGACACUUCCACAAAACCCCUGACAGGAGGCACCAAGACAAUGUUCUCGUCACAAAACCAUCGGAACGAUUCCAAGAUACCCGCGUGAUCCUAAAAAAAAUUUAGUGAAAUUUGAGAAGAGAAGAGUCAAAACUCUACGUCAGGAUGCCUCACCAGGGCGAUGAAGAGACUGGGAAGUAAAAAGAAUUCCUAAACUCUCCAAUAUAUAAUUCCUAAAUGACUCAAAACAUUUUUCUAGACUCAACAACGGCUGCUAAAAACGAUCAAACAGUGGGGGCUCCUAAGGUCGGGGAAGGCUCUGAUUACCAACUUGUAACGCCCUCGAUGUGGCUAUAUCUCCCACGUGUCGAAGCACGACUUAGAGGCAUAACCGCAUUGAAAGCAAUGUCGCAAGUGAGGUAAUCUUCGCAAACAACCCAUGUAAUACAAUAGGGGAAAAGAAACAUAGUUGGCUUACAAUCACCACUUCACACAAUUACAUGAAUAAAGCAUUACAUCAUCCAAAUACACUCAAGGUCCGACUACGGAACCAAAAUAAAAGAAGAACCCCAAAUGCGACAAAGGUCCCCGAUCGACCCCAACUGGGCUCCACUACUGAUCAACUAGAACGAAGCAACACAAAGGACAAGAUCUUCAACGAGCUCCUCCUUGAGCUUGGUUGCGUCACCUGCUCUGUUCAACGACACCUGCAAGUUGCAUUACGCGGUCCAACCCGACGCGCGCCGCUCAGUCGCUGACGUCAUGAAGGCUUCGGCUGAUACCACGACGUCGAGUGCCCAUAACUGUCCUGCGUAGAUGGUUAGUGCGUAUAGGCCAGUAGCCAGACUCAGAUCAAAUACCAAGAUCUCGUUAAGCGUGUUAUUAUGAAAUAACCACGGGCACCAACCAGGGCCAGGCUCACCUCUCUCCUAGAUGGUAUCAACCUGCCCUGUCGCUCCGCCACAAAGUAACUGUCGGGGGCCUUCGGGAACUCAGGCCCACCUCUACCGGGAUGGAGCCACCUGCCCUUUCAGCCCCCAACAUCGGAAUCACUCGCGGGUACUCCUACGAGCCGACCCGACUUUAAUCACCACAAGUAUCAUAUAUUAUGUAUAAGUAAAUACCCGUGACCACCUCCCAAGUGAUCACGGCCCGAUAGUAUAGCAUGGCAGACAGACAAGAAUGUAGGGCCACUAAUGGUAAACUAGCAUCCUAUACUAAGCAUUCAGGAUGGCAGGUAAGGUAUCAACAGCUGGAGCAACAAUGAUAGGCUAUGCAUCAGAAUAGGAUUAACGGAAAGCAGUAACAUGCUACACUACACUAAUGCAAGCAGUAUAGAGGAGAGUAAGUGAUAUCUGGUGAUCAAGGGGGAGGGGGGGCUUGCCUGGUUGCUCUGGCAAGAGAGAGGGGUCGUCAACACCGUAGUAGUACUGGGUAGCAGCGGCGUCGGUCUCGGUGUCUAGCGAGAGAAGAGGGGGAAGAAACAAUAAAUAUAAUGCAAACGUCAGCAUGAGGUCAUGCUGGGUAGUACGGUUUAAAAGAUAUGAUUUUCUAAAGAUUUUAUUAAUUUCUAGAAUUUAAUUAAUUAUUUAAUUUAAUUCGAAAAUGGAUUUAUGACAUCAGCAUGAGGUCAUGCUGGCGUCAGCAGUCAACAGGGUUAACUGGUCAACCUGACCAGUGGGUCCCACUUGUCAGAGACACAUUUUAAUUAAACAAUUUAAUUACCCUAAUUAGUACUCCCUCCAUUCCAAAAUAUAGUGCGCCCGCGCUUCCCGAGGUCGAACUUUGACCAUAAAUUUAAUGAACGAGAUCGACUGCGGCGGGAGAAAAGUUACAUAAUUAGAAACUUCUUUCGAAUACGAAUUUAUUGAUAUAAUUUUUGCUCCCGCCGCAAUCGGUCUUGAUAGUUAAAUUUAUGGUCAAAGUUGAAACACGAGGAUAGAGGAAGCACUACAUUGUGGAAUGGAGGGAGUAUUAAUUAGGGGGUGGGCCCCACUGCCAUACUAAUUAAUUAGCUAAUUAACUAACCAGGUUAAUUAGAUAACUAAUGUUUAAUUAGUUUAAUUAUUUGAUUAGUUUAAUUAAUCAAAAUUAAUUAAGUUAAUUAUUAUUUCCUUUAAUUAAUUAAUUAUUUUUAUUUUUAUUUUUAUUUUUUUUAAACGUUCUGUGGGGGUUGGGCCCCACAUGACAUAGGCAAGGGGGCCAUAGAAGGUGUGGGCUACGGGCACAACACGAACGGGCGAGGGGGAUACGGGCAACGGGCGGGUGCCCAUUAACGACGGCUGCGGUGGCAGGGAUGAGGACGGCGCAUGCGUGCGCAGCGAGCACGCGCAGGAAGCAGCAGCUGCGGNNNNNNNNNNNNNNNNNNNNNNNNNNNNNNNNNNNNNNNNNNNNNNNNNNNNNNNNNNNNNNNNNNNNNNNNNNNNNNNNNNNNNNNNNNNNNNNNNNNNNNNNNNNNNNNNNNNNNNNNNNNNNNNNNNNNNNNNNNNNNNNNNNNNNNNNNNNNNNNNNNNNNNNNNNNNNNNNNNNNNNNNNNNNNNNNNNNNNNNNNNNNNNNNNNNNNNNNNNNNNNNNNNNNNNNNNNNNNNNNNNNNNNNNNNNNNNNNNNNNNNNNNNNNNNNNNNNNNNNNNNNNNNNNNNNNNNNNNNNNNNNNNNNNNNNNNNNNNNNNNNNNNNNNNNNNNNNNNNNNNNNNNNNNNNNNNNNNNNNNNNNNNNNNNNNNNNNNNNNNNNNNNNNNNNNNNNNNNNNNNNNNNNNNNNNNNNNNNNNNNNNNNNNNNNNNNNNNNNNNNNNNNNNNNNNNNNNNNNNNNNNNNNNNNNNNNNNNNNNNNNNNNNNNNNNNNNNNNNNNNNNNNNNNNNNNNNNNNNNNNNNNNNNNNNNNNNNNNNNNNNNNNNNNNNNNNNNNNNNNNNNNNNNNNNNNNNNNNNNNNNNNNNNNNNNNNNNNNNNNNNNNNNNNNNNNNNNNNNNNNNNNNNNNNNNNNNNNNNNNNNNNNNNNNNNNNNNNNNNNNNNNNNNNNNNNNNNNNNNNNNNNNNNNNNNNNNNNNNNNNNNNNNNNNNNNNNNNNNNNNNNNNNNNNNNNNGUCGAGGAGGCAGGCCGGUGGGGGGGAGCGCCGGCGAGGUCCAGGCAAGGAGGGGGCGAUGGCGUUCGGCGGCGACGUCGGGCGUCGAGGGCGCGGUCACCCCGAUCCCGAUCCGGAUCGAGGGAGCGAUGGGGGAGCGAGUGGGGGGCGAGCGGGGCGAAUGGAGCGACGGGGUGGACGGCUAGGGUUUCGGGAGGGGUUAAGGAAAGGGAGUGGGUCGGCUGGGCCUUUGCCCAGUUGGGCCGAUGGCCUGGCCGGCUGUGGCCUGGUGGGCCGAAUCCCAAGGGGCCGGGGGUUCUUUUCUUUUAUUUUUGCUUUCUGUUUUGUUUCUUUUCCUUUUAUUUAUUUUCUUUUACUGUUUUAAUUCAACUUAGGGCAUAUAAGUAUUUUAUAAAUUUGUGUUUUCUUUACUAUAAUUAUCUAUGUAAUAUUUAGCACUAACCGAACAUUUUUAUUUUGAUGUUUGACAAUAUUUAAAUUUUGAAUUUGAAAGUUUCGAACCGACGCGAAAUUAGCAACAGUAAACGAGGUGACGUGACAUCAUUAGCAGAGGUUCAUUGUAGCUUAAAUAUCCGGACGUCACAUCCAUGCAGAGCAUUGUUGUCAUAGAAAAUUGCAAAAUACAUAUGGAUCUGAAUGUAGCAGACCCAUUGACUAAACCUCCAUCACAAGCAAAACAUGAUCACACCUUAGUACUCUUUGGGUAUUAAUCACAUAGCAUGUGAACUAGAUUAUUGACUCUAGUAAACCCUUUGAGUGUUGGUCACAUGACGAUGUGAACUAUGGGUGUUAAUCCCAUGGUGAUGUGAACUAUUGAUGUUAAAUCACAUGGCGGUGUGAACUAGAUUAUUAACUCUAGUGCAAGUGGGAGACUGAAGGAAAUAUGCCCUAGAGGCAAUAAUAAAGUUAUUAUUUAUUUCCUUAUAUCAUGAUAAAUGUUUAUUAUUCAUGCUAGAAUUGUAUUAACCGGAAACAUAAUACAUGUGUGAAUACAUAGACAAACAGUAUGUCACUGGUAUGCCUCUACUUGACUAGCUCGUUGAAUUAAAUAUGGUUAAGUUUCCUAGCCAUAGACAUGAGUUGUCAUUUGAUUAACGGGAUCACAUCAUUAGAGAAUGAUAUGAUUGACUUGACCCAUUCCGUUAGCAUAGCACUUGAUCUUUUAGUUUGUUGUUAUUGCUUUCUUCAUGACUUAUACAUGUUCCUAUGACUAUGAGAUUAUGCAACCCCCGUUUACCGGAGGAACACUUUGCGUGCUACCAAACGUCACAACGUAACUGGGUGAUUAUAAAGGUGCUCUACAGGUGUCUCCGAAGGUACUUGUUGGGUUGGCGUAUUUCGAGAUUAGGAUUCGUCACUCCGAUUGUCGGAGAGGUAUCUCUGGGCCCACUCGGUAAUGCACAUCACUAUAAGCCUUGCAAGCAUUGCAACUAAUGAGUUAGUUGCGGGGUGAUGUGUUACGUAACGAGUAAAGAGACUUGCCGAUAACGAGAUUGAACUAGGUACUGAGAUGCCGACGAUCGAAUCUCGGGCAAGUAACAUACCGAUGACAAAAGGAACAACGUAUGUUGUUAUGCAGUUUAACCGAUAAAGAUCUUCGUAGAAAAUAUGUAGGAGCCAAUAUGAGCAUCCAGGUUCCGUUAUUGGUUAUUGACCGGAGACGUGUCUCGAUCAUGUCUACAUAGUUCUCGAACCCGUAGGGUCCGCACGCUUAAAGUUCGAUGACGGUUAUAUUAUGAGUUUAUGUGUUUUGAUGUACCGAAGGAAUUCGGAGUCCCGAAUGAGAUCAGGGACAUGACGAGGAGUCUCGAAAUGGUCGAGACGUAAAGAUCGAUAUAUUGGACGACUAUAUUCGGACAUCGGAAAGGUUCCGAGUGAUUCGGGUAUUUUCAGGAGUACCGGGGAGUUACGGGAAUUUGUAUUGGGCCUUAAUGGGCCAUAAGGGAAAGGAGAGAAAGGCCUCAAAGGGUGGCCGCACCCCUCCCCAUGGGCUGGUCCGAAUUGGACUAGGGAGGAGGGCGCCCCCUUCCUUCCUUCUCCUUUUCCCUUCCCUUUCCUUCCCUCCUACUCCUACUACUUGGAAGGGCUCUAGUUCUACUAGGAAAGGGGGAAUCCUACUCCCGGUGGGAGUAGGACUCCCCUAGGGCGCAUGGCGCGCCCUCCCCCUAGGAAAGGGGGAAUCCUACUCCCGGUGGGAGUAGGACUCCCCUAGGGCGCAUGGCGCGCCCUCCCCCUCCUCCACUCCUUUAUAUACGGGGGCAGGGGGCACCCCAAAGACACAACAAUUGAUCUCUUGAUCUCUUAGCCGUGUGCGGUGCCCCCCUCCACCAUAAUCCACCUCGAUCAUAUCGUAGCGGUGCUUAGGCGAAGCCCUGCGUCGGUAGAACAUUAUCAUCGUCACCACGCCGUCGUGCUGACGAAACUCUCCCUCAACACUCGGCUGGAUCGAAGUUCGAGGACGUCAUCGAGUUGAACGUGUGCAGAACUCGGAGAUGUCGUGCGUUCGGUAUUUGAUCGGUCGGAUCGUGAAGACGUACGACUAUAUCAACCGCGUUGUGCUAACGCUUUUGUUUUCGGUCUACGAGGGUACGUGAACAACACUCUCCCCUCUUGUUGCUAUGCAUCACCAUGAUCUUGCAUGUGCGUAGCAAAUUUUUGAAAUUACUACGUUCUCCAUCAUGUAGGAGUAACAAAACAAAGAAGAACAUCUAAAGAAAGGAAAUAAGCAGACACCUAUUUCUUCCGAGCAAAUGUACACGCUAUGACACAACAUGAUCAUGCUUAUCAAUUGAACAUCAGGAAGGAAGAAACUACCAUAUGCCAGUGCGGAGGUAAGGGCCAGCACACACGGCGAACGAGGCAUCGAUGGCGACGGCAUUUUCAUCUAGCACGGUGGAAUUGAUCAGUGUGACGACAUCAAAUCCAGAACUCCCAGCCCAUAUGUCUCUCCCCUCGACUGCAAUUGUCACAACAAUAAGUAUAUCAAUCAAUAUCUAUGGACACAGCUGCAUGAGGGAACAACAGAAAAAACACAUCAAUCAGUAUGCUUGUACAGUACACACACCUUCGAUAACAUUAUAUUCUCCUUUCGAUAUUUGAUUUCUACCACAUAAUAAGCACUGUCAUCCAUCCUUCAAAGUCCUGGUUGUUAAUUCUGCAUCAUGUGUGUGGUAAUCUGGAUUCAGCAAACUCUGAAUCCUUUCCUGAUAAUCUCAGUGUUAUCAACUUAUCAUAGAAGAAGAAUUGUUUGAAAAAACCUACCAGAAAAAAGGUUGCCACGGGACAAAUCAAGAAACCUAUUGUCCCAGUUUUAAAUCAAGCAACAGCGAACUCACCUUAUUGAGUACACAACCAGAACCAUCAUCCGUUGCACAUAGAGGAGGAGGACAUCGUAGGCAAAAGGGAGUGUGUUGGCGGCAGACAACGAUGCCUUUGGUUUCUCAUCAGUCUCGUCUAGGCUUCGAUUGCAUAUAAGUAAGCGUUACACGGGGUGGGCCGCUGCUCCAGUAACAAAUUUGUCGAUUUGCCAUUCAUUUAGCCUGACUUAGCUUUUAAUGUGUUCCUAGCUCUCACCCUUAUUAUAUCUCUAACCGGCCACACGAUAACUUUUCUGCUAAAAUUGUUGCAGGUGAAUUUUGGCCUUCCCUUCAUCUUUCACUCUGUCAAGUAAAUCUGAACUUAUCCUAUAUCAAUUUAUGAAUGCAAUAGUAUUAAAUACUAAUGGCAAAUGGGAAAAGUUGUUGAUAUAACUUGUAACAUCUUAAUUUUGGAAGAGAAUGAUUAACCAACUGCAAUUGGAGUUACUUAAGUUCAGUGCUUACUAUACAGUAUGUACUAUCUAUCUAUGUCAGAACACUUCUAAGUUCUUGCAGGAAUGGGAAACUCUCAUUGUAGACUCACUGUUUGGGCAAUAAAGAUCACUUAUGGGUAUUACUAAUCUUAUUAUGCCAAAUGUCAAAUAUUACCAGGCAAACAGAAGUGAUGGCCGCACUGUGAAGAGCACCUUAAAUACCAUCAGCAAAUAUGUACGCGUCAUUGUAAGUAUAUCUUGUACUGUUCACUGCUUGCAGAUCAAAUUAACAGUAAGAAAGUGCAUAAUCUUCCCUUGUCAGAACCUGAAAUCAGAAAAAAGGUACAUACGGGUGAUUCUCACCUUGACGCUGAACGGGGCAAGCAACUGCUUGCAGCAGAAUUGGUGGAGGACCAGCCCUUGUUCAUCGCAACCAGCUUGGCCGGGGGGUAGAACGUGUCGACGGCCGUUUAAGGUCAUCCCUUCCAUAAGCUCUUCUUGCGAGAUUGGGAUGCUCCGACCGUCCGGCGGCCGGCGGCCCACAACGGCAACGCGAUGCCUAUGACAUGGAGGAAGUUUGAAAUAAAUUCGUCGCACCCCGUUCGAUGCCUAUGCCUGGCGGUGGCGACCGCCACUCAGGGUCGAGAUCGAGAGAUUGAGUCGUGGCUUGAUGUUCGUGCCGGUAGUGGCUGGGGGCGGCGGCACACUAGGGUGAGGGUAACACAGCCAGGUCGAAGAAGAGGAGAGGUCGGGGAGAGAGACGAAAGAACGGGGCCGAGAGAGAGGAGAUGCUCGUGUGCUCAUGGGCUUCGUGGGACAGAAUAUUUGUGCGUGAAACUGGGCCACCUAACCAGAGGCCACCGAAAGAGGAAAGUAUCGUUUUCCCCUCAAAUCCUGUCUGAUGGACCGAUUUCCCCCCAAAGUCUAAAACCGGAUCAAUCAGCCCCUAAACUCUCUAAAACCGGAUCAAUUUUCCCCCAUGGUGGUUUUGCACCAGAUUUAGGUGGUUUUGACUAGUCUCCUUGCUGACUGGACAGUGCUGACUUGGCAGCGCACGCCCCACGCUCACCCGCUGCCGUGCCCCUGCCCCGCGAUGUCCGCUCCUUUGGUCGCCCGUGCGCCGGCCAUGCCCUGCCUCACCCUCGCCCAAUCGAGCUCCCCGCGCGCGCGUAGGCUCCGGACGUGCCCUGCUUCUUGCUGAUGCUGCCUUGCCGCCGUCUCUACUCGACUGUUGCGGCCUUCGCUUGCUGCUUCCCUCUGCUGCUGACUCUACAUCGCCCGUCCGCCGCUAUAUGCUCGGCACCGGCGCCCGCCCUGCCGCCGUGCCUGGUGCUCAGCUCCCGCACGCACCCACGCCCGGGCGCCACUCGCGCCUGCCGCCGUGCGCCCGCUCCUGCCGGAGCUCCCCUAUCGCCCCCUCACCCCGCUGUCGGCCGCCGCAUUUUCGCUCGUGCCCUGGUGCCGCCCGCCUGCGCCCCCGCGAGCCGCGCCCCGUUGAUGGCCCCUCAACGCCUGAUGUCGCCAAGCUCCCUGCUCGCCGUGGCGGAUGCGCCACCGCCGGAGCUUCCCGCCGUGGCCGCCGGCCCUCCUCUGUGAGGCCGCGUGCGUGCCCGGCCUCUGAGACCGGCCCCAGUUUUCGCCAAGUCAGCACUGUCCAGUCAGCAAGGAGACUAGUCAAAACCACCUAAAUCUGGUACAAAACCACCAUGGGGGAGAAUUGAUCCAGUUUUGGAGAGUUUAGGGGCUGAUUGAUCCGGUUUUAGACUUUGGGGUGAAAUCGGUCCAUCAGACAGGAUUUGAGGGGGAAAACGAUACUUUCCUCCCACCGAAACGGUUUCUGGAGUAGCAGCCCUUAGGACAGCCGGCCUAGUUAGCGCUAAACAACGACCUGACGAACAGAAACAUUUCAAACACAUGAUCUGACGGCCAAAAUUGCAAGUGCGUGAGAGAGCUCGCUUUAGGCUCAGUUUUACUGUCCUUAAUAAUAGCUGGAGUAAGAAUUUUUCAAAAGAUCACCUAGGAGCAAGAAAAGCUUACAGAAAAUGUUUGAUGAAUUGUUAACACUUUAGCUUUAGCUGCACUGACUUUCUCCAUCUAAAACAUACAGCCAUUAGCGCAUCUAUUCAUCAGCACAUACAAAAAUUACCAAGCACCAAGUAGCAGUACCAAAUUGGCAAUUACCAAAUUGAAAUUGUCAAGCGACAGAUACAAAUUUAAACAUACAUCAAUGCAUUAGCAGUACCAUUUAUUCAUCAAUACAUGCAUCUAUCCAUCCAUCUAUUCACCUAGAUGUUAACAGAGAAACAGAGAAGAAUACAGAGGUAGAAGAGAGACGAGACAGAGAAGAAGAGUUCCCAUCGGGCGUCUAGGCAGGGCGGCCAGAGGCGACCAGAGGCGGCGGGCUGCCCGUCCAGCGGGGUCGCGAGGAGCGAGGCGACGGAGCUCCCGUCCGGCGGCGUCGUGAGGAGGGGUGCUGUCGGUGUUCCCAUCUGGCGGCGGCGAGGCGGGCCGUCGUGAGGAGAGGGGCCGCCCCAAGGCGAGAACCGGCGUGUAGGCUGGGCUGCCAGGGGGUGGCCGGUGGCGGGCUGGUGGAGCUCCCGCCGCCGCUAGCGCUCGUGGGGAUCGAGCGUUUGCUGGGCCGUUCAGUCGUGCAAAAGGGGCAGUUUGGCUGUAAAUUAUUCCUCCAAUAGGGGUACUCUCAUAUCCGAAACGUUUUCUUUGGUGGGACUUACCAGAAUCUUGGGAUUCUGUGAAAAUCUAUGUUUUUCGAGGAUUUUGAAUUGCACUAGGAUUCUGCAGAAUCCGCUCGAGAUUUUGGAAGGCAAAUCGAGUUCUUUUCGCUCAGGAUUUUCCAGGACGAGAUUCUUCACAAUCUGUUCAAAAGAACUGGGCCUAAUUGCCGAAUGCAGCGGUAUUCUUUCGCUGGAGGUCAUUGCUGGAUUUGCUUUAGCUCUUCGGGCUGUUUUUCGUAAUCUCCAAUCCUCUUCAACCACCGUAAACCGAGGUCAGAUCCAGACUCAGCUGCUAUCUGGAACUGCUCCUUUGCCAGCUUUACUGGGUCCUGCUGUAUGGUCCUUUUUCGCACCUUCCCAGUUGACGGACUCUUGCCUGAGUUGAACCUGGUAAUGACUUCAGGCACUUCAGCACCUGAAACAACCACACGGUAAGCAUAAACAGAUAGGCCUGGAGUCUGGAGUAAUCUAACAAUUCCAGCCAAAAUUAAACAAAAUCAGUUGACCAAGAGCUGUCCAAAUUAAUGGUGAAACCAUAACUUCACAACCUGUUUACUCUAAAAUAGCCAUUACAAGAAGGAUAAUAUAAGGACACAUGAUUAUCUCUUGAAACGUUAAGAGUUACUCCCUCCGUAAACAAAUAUAAGAGCGUUUAGAUCACUAAGAGUUACUCCCUCCAUAAACAAAUAUAAGAG
rnacentral:lncRNA from 1 species